rnacentral:lncRNA from 1 species
UUCCAUUUCCUUCACACUUCUCUUAUUCUUUCUCUCUCAAACAUCUCUGUAAACCCCUCCUAAGCUUUAGUACUUCCCGAGUUCUAAGAGGCGAAUCUUGAAGCACCAGAAGGAUCCAAGAAAAAGAGCUUUCGGCUCGGAAGUUCUGCCCCUACAGAGCCUGGUUCCUAUCCAAACCUCCUAGUAAGUGAGUUAUUCUUAACCUACUUUAAGUAUAGCUUAUGUUUGAGUUCAAUAUCAUUAUUAUGAACUUAUAAACAAUAUUUGUGAGUAUUAUAAAAUAUAGAAAGNAUAUAUAUAUUAUAAAAUAUAAUAUACAAAGUGUUAUUAUAAUAUCUUUUAACUACUCGCGGUAUGGGGAAUCUGGUUUGAAGGGCCGCAUAGGGUUGUUGGAUUUUAGAAGUGCUAUAAUGCCAAAAUGGUCCUGCCCUCCUGUGUUUCAUGUUGUGCGGGCAUCCUACAAAACCGGGCAGUGUGUCCCUUCUUUUUGCAAUUGUUGGAGUACAUUUCUCGACAGGCUCCGGUGUGAUGGACGUUACAAUUGCUGCAUUUCGGUAGGUAACCGACAUAUUGUAUUAAUGGUGUUGCAGGGGUAAUGGCGGUACGGACGACAACGAUUUGUUGUUUCUUGGCGGUCUAUCUCUUCCUCUAAGGAGUGUAGGUGGUUCGUAUUGUUUUCCUGAUCUGCUAGUAGGCGUAGCAUCUGUAUGGCGUCCUUCUUGUUCGUAGAUGUGUUGAAUUUUGUAAUGUCAUGUUCCGAGAUUUGCCACUGAUCUCCAUUACUUCGUGACAGAGAGUCUAAACCCAAAUGUCCGAGUGGGCCUUUCAUGGUACGAUCAGGGGUAGUGUUCAAUUUGUAGGUGUUAGGGUCCGGAGCAUGGUGUAGUGGGUGUAUGUAUAUUGUGGUGAUGUAUCUUGGAAUGAUAGAGGUGAAAGGGUCUUAUGCCUACUCCUGGUAAGUUAAGUUUCAUUAAUGAUCUCACUGAUGCCCUUCUCUUCAUGUGAUCCCUUCUCAAGAUCCUCUUCAUGAACUCCUUUUGGUUCUUCUUCAAUUCAUAUGUUGAUUGUUUUGGUAGCGUUGCAGUGUCUAGAUAUGUCGUUGGUGCGAGAAUAGGGGUCUAUAAAGAAUCUAUGAGGUUAAUAGAAGCACUUUCAAUGAAAAUUUUAUGACGUGAUCCUUACCUGGUCCUCUUAUAAUCAUGUAGUGUAUACAAGAUGUAUAUAACAAAGAUCGAAUAGACCUUCGAAUAAGUGGUUCCACUCUAAGCCCACGACCAAACAAUGAACAGGAUUUAAAGUGGAAUCACAAAUUCUAAGUCUAUUAAAUCUUAAUUGUAUAUCACUCUAAUGUAUACACUAACAAAUUAUAGACCUACCAGUAAGGAUCUUUAGUUUUCACAUCAAUUAUCUAUAGUAUCAUAAAACACUCCUAUAGUAUUUUAAUUUUUUUUGUUUUAGAGCUUCUUGGUAUAUAUACAGUCGGUAAGUUUUAGAUUUGUUGCCCACCACGACUAUUCACAGGCAUAUGCUAGUCACCUCUCGGUUAAAUAUAGUUGAUCAGGCUAUAUUCAUCCAAGACCUGAUUACAUUUACCAAGGUUUACUCAUAGUGUCCAACUUAUCUUAAUACUUUUGUUUUAUUCUCAUUAUGACACUGUUCUAGUAUGUAUGUGUGUCUGUAUAAUUCUAUAAAUAUUAUUAUAUUUAAAAUUAUAACUCUUGGUCAGAGUAUUUUAGCCCCAUUGUAUUUAUAGUUGUAUAUCUUAUAUGGUUUGAUACAGUUAGUUCAUUAUAAACAAUGCUCUAAUACAAAUCUGUCACACCCUCAAACCGGAACGGUGGAAACGUCCGGGGGUGGAUGACAUCAUGUACAUUAUCAUAACAAUUGAAUAGUAGUAAUCAAAGAAACACAACCAUCAUAUUGAAAAUACAUAAUUUACAUUGUGUUCGAAUCAUUGUUUGUUUGACACCAAAACUAUAGCCAAAAACUAAGAUGUGACGCUACUAUACUCCGUCUUCUCGAAACUUGUAUGGGUACCUGUCUACUAAUUUCCUGAGAAUACAAGUGGUUUGAAAAAGUGUCAAAAUUUAAGUUGGUGAGUUAGUGUUUUCUUCCAAAAAAUCCAAUAUUUUCUUUGUAUAAGUGUUGUAAUCUUAGUACCUUAAGACCAAAAUGUAUAAGUUUCUUAUGCUUAAAAUUUUUAAUAUGGAGUUCUAAUUUAUGUAAGUGGUGUGACCCAUACUGGUACCUCCUAUGAUCAGUUAGUGUAUACAAGUUAUAUAUAAUCAAGAUCGAACGGACAGUCGGAUGAGUGAUUCUGCCCUAAGCCCACAACCAAACAAGGAACAGGAUCUAAGGCGGAAUCAUACAUUCUCAUGCCUAUAGGAUCAUAAUUAUAUAUAACCCUGACGUAUAUGCUAAGUAAUCACAAAGUUACCAAUAAUGGUCAUUUCAGAAGUGUAAGUUGCACUGUACUAGAAUAAUAGAGUACUACAAUUGUAUUUGUAUGCAACCCUUUUAAAUGUAUGUUUCUAGGAAUGUAAAUUGUGUUUUAAUGGAAAAUCAUGUAAUGUAGUUUUAUUACUAAGUAAAACUAGUUGAAGAUGUGUUUGCCCCGUAAAAUAAAUGUAAAGUUAGUAACCCUUUAAGACUGUUUGAAAAAAUAUAUUACUCCGUAAAUGUGUCGUCGUUUUCUCCAUGUGAGUUCCUAUAACCAUACUAUGACCCAGUCGGUCUGAUACGACGUUCUUCAGGCGUCAAAAUAUUAACGAUAUUUGUCACCCCAGACUUAUCGGUCAAACUAUAGCUAAUAGUCAGGGUGUGGGAUUGUCGGUACCAUAUAGAUCGAUACACAAAUAUCUCGCUCUCCCUACAAGAGACUCUGCUUAUAAGUUAGGACUUUUGUUAGUACUUAGGUAAGUACGUGAAGACGUGUCUCACAAUUUUAUUGCUUAACGAGUUUACGAGUAAUGAAAUGAAAAACCCAUUAGCAAAUGAAAAUGUAAAACCAUUUAGUAAAUGAAAAUGUAACUUUUCCAUAGAAAUUUCUGAGUGUAUAAAUAUUGUAAAAUGACCCAUAAACUAUACCUUUUAUAGUUUUUAUUGUUUGUUCUAUUGAAAUGAAAAACCUUUGUAUUUUAACAGCUUUGUAUGAAGAGUUUAUAAGUUAGGUAGUAACGUUAUUUAACAUUUUUGCGUAAAGUGUACAUAAAGUAUAAGAAAACAUAGUAAGAGAUCUGUAUAUUUACACAAGUAUUCGUGUGUUUUUACUUGUAUUCUUCCCUAAAACAUAGAAAAACCUUGAAAAAUGUGGGGGUAUGAACUCACCUCAACUGUGAUUGCGGUUAGAUGACGAGGUAAAAAUGGUGAUCUUCGAGUUAGAACGCUAGAAGGUAGUUGUAUCCUAAUCGUUAUAAACACAUAAUGAUAUGUGUAAAUUAAAUGAACUAGCAUGGGAUUGUGGUUGUAUAAGACUAGGUUAUAAGAAAUGCUCACCAAGAUUCUAAAGAACAACUUUAAAGAAAUAGACUUCCUGAGAUUGUUUUGAACUUGAGGUUGAAAGGAAAAUGGUUUGUGUUCUGAGAGAUUAUGAAGUGAAGUUUGUUUACUGUAAAUGAGGGUUCAAAGGAUCUUAAUUCAUGGCUUAUAUAUGAAGAAGUAAGAUAAGGUGAUGUUAUAUAUACAUAGGUAAGUGUAAUCUAUCACAUUGGGAAGAGUAUCAACCAAUCAAGUUGUAACACCGGAGUCCAGGAAACCUAGAAAGGAAAAAAAACCCUAAGUCAAGAAGAACUCACCGAGCCCAGGGACGAACUCGAUGAGUAGGAGCGGAUUUUGGGACGCGGGUAAAGUGACCUACUCCACGAGUUGGAGGACCAACACGGCGAGUUGGUCUGGGUUUGGUAAAACCUAAAUCCAGGUCGUGUACCCUAUUUAAGCAUCUUAUUCUCCUCCCAUGCAGCCCCUAUUGUGUCCCUUAGUCCAGAAAGCCCUAACUCAUGACCCUUGAGCUUUGAUGAGUGUGUGAGAUAUUUUUAAGAGUGUUUGUGUGAUCUUGGAGCUAGAAGAAGAAGAAGAAGAAGCUAGAAGGUUCAAGGAAGCAGCAGAUCCAGGGUUCAAGCUCCAUUUCCAAUCCCUUUAAGGUAUAAAGUUGCUUCCUUUACUUCCCUAUUUCUAGAAAUAUCUCUCCUUGUUUUAGUUUAGGGCCAUCUUUUAGCAAUUUAGUGAACCUUUUUUAGUAUGGCAUGUGAUCGGAAUUUGUAACUUCAGAUCCAGAUCCCUUUCAGCCCCUAUAGCUAAAAAGUUCACGAAUUUAUCAUGCUUUAACCCUUCCCUUUGGCCUAGACUUUAUUUUAGACUUGGAAAUGGUGUUUUUGGCUCAUAACACCUUGCAUGCAUGUAAAGUUUCUAAGUUUACGUGUAAAAUCUACCCUAGGAGGUCAGAUCUAUGUUUUAGAAGCGUUAUCUCGACUGAAAUCGACUGUAUGGACUUGGAAUUUGGGGGACUCGACAAGUAGUUCAUAAGACUCGGCGAGUCGAGUAAUGGUUACCCAACCUUUUAUGUUUCGGAGCAAUCUGGUUGGGUCUAGAAGAGGACUCAACAAGAUGGGAGUGAAUAUGGACUUGAAGAUCACAGAACUCGAUGAGUUCAAGGAUAAACUCGGCGAGUUCAAGGCAAUGUCCCGACUGAUAUAAAGAAGAACUCGACGAGUUCAAGGAAGAACUCGGUGAGUCAAGGGCUAAACGUUCCAGCUUAUAUGAAGCAGGACUCGAUGAGUUUAAGGAUGAACUUGGCGAUUCAUGAGCAAAAAGGCCCUAAUUUUGCAUGAGGAAGAAGUCGCCGAGUUCCUGAAAGACUUGACGAGUAGGAUCGAAGUUCCAGUAUUUUGUGGAUUAUGGAACUCGAUGAGUUGUUGGACCAACUCGGUGAGUUGAGUCAACCAGAUGUUGACUUUGACCAGAUUGUUUGCCUUGACUUUAGCUUUGACCUGAGUUGACCCUGGAAAGGGUUAUGAGCAUGAAAUGGUAAUUAAGGAAGGAUGUUAUAUGUAGGAGUUUGAGUUGUAAGAGGAGUUGAUCCCCGCACCGAGGACAGUUCAGAUACUACACGACAUUGAGGUGUGUUACCUUCCAGUAGAAGUGGGUCUAAGGAACCAAGGUCGGCCCACUAGUAAGAGUUAUAGUAGAGACAAUUGUCUUCGUGAUAAUUGUCUGGUAUGUUAUCAAUUAUGAUUAUGUGCUAGCCUGAUAUGAUGUUAUGUGGUAGUAGGUAGUGGGGGGAAUAGUCCUCGUGUUACAAUAGUAGGGACCGAAGGGUAGGUCGGGCACCCUAGAUAUGCUUGACAGUAUGUUUAUGCUAUGUUAUUAUGUGGUAGUAUAAGUGUUGAAAUAGUCCCCGUAGCCGGUUGAGAUAAACCGGAGGGUAGGUCGGCACCCCAGAAUUGCUAGACAGGAUAGGUUGGCACCCCCAGAAUUGUCAGAAGGGGUAGGUUGGCACCCUAGAAUUGCUAGAAAGGGUAGGUCGGCACCUGAGAAUUGCUAGACAGGGUAGGUCGGCACCCCAGAAUUGCUAGACAGGGUAGGUCAGAACCCCAUAAUUGCCUGACAAGGAAAGACGGGCACCCCAGAAUUGCCCAGCAGUAUGUUAGUUAUGUGAUAUGUGAUAUGAUGGGGGAACUCACUAAGCUUUGUGCUUACACUUUUCACUUUUGGUUUUAGGUACUUCGUUUUCAAAGAAAAGGAGCCGACGAUCACAGCGCAUCACACUAUGUUUUCUGCACAUGAGAUCUUUAGGAUUACACUCUGAUAUUAUUUUAUGAUUACAUGUUUGACUAUUUACACUUUGGUUUUGACAUGAGAUGUUAUUAUGGAUGUUUUUUUUACUAAUUGGUUUUAUGAAUUGUUAAACAAAACACAUAAUUUUUGGCCUUAUAUUUUGGGAUGUUACAAGUUGGUAUCAGAGCCUUGGUUUAAGGGAUUCAGAAAGACUCUCGGGUGUGUCUGGACUCAAACUGAGGACUUGGUAUAAAAAUUUUCGAAAGAAAACUCAUUUUAUAAAAAGAAGUUUGAAAUGGAUUUGAAAAAGAGAAAAGAACAAGGUGUUUGAUGUGUGCAAUUAGCCGAGCUCAAGUAAGUUUUCCCCAAGAUACCCAUACAUGUUAUGUUAUGAUAUGAUACGAUUAUGAGAACUGCAUGCUAGAUUAGGGCUAAUGAAACAUCCCAAAUAUACGGCCCAAAAUUUUCGUUUUAAAACUUAUAAAAAAACUAUAAAUCAUCCAUCAAUCACAAAGAAAAUCAAGAAGCAUGUAUAUUAAAACAUCAUAUCAAAUACUGUAUCAAAAUCAUAUGAGAUAAAUAUCAGAUUCCAAACUCCCUGGCUGAAACUAUGGUGUCUGCUAUGUGAUCAUCCCGAGCCCUUCCCCUUGCUAGUGGAAGUACCUAAAACCAAAACUGAAAAUUGUAAGCACGAAGCUUAGUGAGUCUCCCCAAAAUACCAUAUACCAUACACAUAACAUGCAACUAGGAGAUACGAGCCCCGCCCACUCUCAUGGAGAUUCGGGCCCCACCCACACUCUGUUGUCUAACAUGUAUACAAGUAUCAUAUAGACAACAAGUAUAUCUAUCCCUAUCAAACAGUCACAUAACUAUACUCAGAUAAUACUAUGAGAUUUGGGCCCCACCCACACUCGGCUGCUAUGAAAUUCAGGCCCCACCCAUACACUCCACUACUAAAAUAUCACAUAUACGGGGUGGCCUUUGUGCCUUCGACCCGUUCCUUCUGAAAGGAAACUCACCUCUCAAACUGGAUGUUGAACUCGUGCAUGAGGAAUCUCUACUAGCUGCUCCCACGACCCCCUAGUUAACUUUAUACAAUAAUAUUUAUUUCGUAACUGAAAGGGUAAACUGACCAUUUUACCACUGGUUAAAGUCAAUGUUCUGGUCAAAGUCAACAUCCUAAGUUGACCAACUCGUCGAGUCAACCUUUCAACUCAUUGAGCUCUUAAACUCUAAAAUCCUGAAAUCAUGACUCAACUCGCCGAGUCUUAUCGAGUUGGUCAUAGUCGCGACUUGGCAAAUCAACUCAUUGAGUCACUCUACAAACUCGUCGAGUUUUACUAUAAACUAGAAUCGGGACAACAGGACUUGACUCGUUGAGUUCCCCUAUAGACUCGAUGAGUCCCUCUGUCUGUUUGGCCAUCUUAACAGAUUAAGCCCCUAUUCUCUAGAUCCAAGGUCCACACUUCGCUUGAACCUUGAAAAUGUCCUUAUUAAGGGUAAAGUUUCUUACUUUACCCAUUAAUUCCACUUCUUAGAGGGUUUAGUUCAAACCCUAAUUCCUUGGGACCUAGAACUUGGUCCUUAAGUCCUCCAUACACCAAACUCAAGUUUACAACCUCAGAUCCAAACCCCUAACGCCACUUGGACACGUAAAGUCUCGAGCUUGCUUCCAUGCAUGGCCUUUUAGGGCUAAAAAGGCCAUAUAAAUGAUCAUAAAGUUGCAUGGGCUCCCAUGGUCAUAAAUUUUGCACCUUUAUGCCAUGGAACCCCUCCUAGAUCCCAAAUCUGAACCAUGUGUCACUUGAGGCGUCCAAAACCCAAAGAUUAAGACUCUUGAACCAAAAUCAUCAUAAAAAGGAAAUAACUAGAUCUAAGAGAAGAAUGAUCAAGUUAGAGACUUGAUUACCAAAACGUCCAACAAAUGGAUUGUAGCUUCUGGAUCUAUUCCUUCCCUCUUGAGCUCUCUAUCUUCUUCUCCUUCUACAAGCUUCACAAUGCACAAAAUUCACUCAAAAUGGCUCACACACUCAAGAAAAGUUUUAGGGUUUCGUGGACUAGGGUUUGGGACAAGGAGGCUAUGAAUGAGGCCAAUGGGUGGAGGUUAUGAUGCUUAAAUAGGGUGCAAAACCCUGAAAUUAGGUUUUCACUCUGGAUGAGCUACUCGUCAAGUUGGGGGUAACGACUCGCCGAGUAAGUAACUUUAACCCCGCUCAUAAACUUCCCUUUACUCGAAGAGUUAGGUCCACCAACUCGUCGAGUCCUUCUUUCAAAAUGAAUAUAUAACUGAAUUAAAUGCGUACCAGGAAAUGGGCGUUACAGCUAAGGAUCUAGGAAGGAUGCCUUAUAUGCCUACUAUAUGUCCUUGUAGAUCUGCAUGCUAGUACUGAUCAGUUAGUGAUAUGAUAGUCUGUUUAGGUUAUGCCUGAUUUUAUGAGCCUUUGAAUUACAUGCUAGUAUAGAUUCCUAAUAAGAGGAUAGAAUGGCUUGUUUGGUUUGAUUUUAUGUUGUCUGAAUGCUGCUUGCUUUGUGCUUUGUGGGACUUCGAGUGAUGGGAGUUAAUUACUAGAUGAAUACGUUAAGUCACAUGUGACUAGGGUUGAAUAAUCUCAGAGUGUUGGAUUUGACCCUAUUGUGCAGCUCUCGUCUGAGUCUAACCGUUGUAGGGAUGAGUCCUUUACGCAAAGGAUUAUCUGAGCCUUGUCACAUGUGAUGGUAUUCAUGUAGUGGUUAAUUGGCAUCAUGAAGAGUCUUUCAGCAGCUGAGGACAGGGUGGGUUCAGGAAUCUAGGAAAGCCUAGGAUGAGUUUACUGUUGGGAACAGUGUUAGUAGAAAGUAACUUGGAGGAUUCGGGAUGAUUGAUGAGGAAAGUAUGGAUAGGUGUGGAAGGUGGUAUUGGGCCCGUACUACUGAAAGCACAUGAUCCAUAAUCGAAUUGAUGAGAGUCUUGGAGAAUUUGAGAAGCUUCGGGAAGGAGUUUAUGACCCAGUUUGGGGACAGAGGAUGUUCUAAAUGCUGCAGCUCAGUCAUUGGCAAGUGAGCAAGUAAGUGUGAUAGGGUGUCAGACCCUGUAGGAUAUGACUUCUAAGUCCGAGGAUGCGAAAUCGAUUUGGCACUUUGAGAGGAUAGGGUCAUGUCAGGUGCAUAUAGUAGGGGGUCUUGGGGAGAGACCCAAUACUUCUGAUCAUCGGGUGAAAGGCCAGGGAGUUUCACAAUCCAGGAGUUAGGCUGCCACAAGUGUAGCGGGGGUUAGUCAUGUCAGAAGAAGGAGUCAGUCCCUAUAGUUUCAGACAAGAGAAGUCAGAACUCUCGCAGGCGAUGCUGCAGGUAUGUAACCUUGCCUUCUUUUAGUUUUAUUUUCACAUUGUUGUGGGAAUUAUGUUGUGGUUUGGGAUACUAUAGUAGGAUGAGUAAGUGUAUCCCUAGUUUAUCUCUUUACUCCUGUUAGGUUAGAUCAUUAAAUAUCAUCAUAUGCCAAUUGCAUGCUGUGAAUUACUAGUGGUUAGUGUAAUAUCGUUCUCCUUUUGCUAGUUUGCGGUGCUCAGUGUUCUCUCGGUUCAUAGUACAGACUUGUCACAGGGCAGUAAGGGGCUCAUUUGGAGCCCAAAGCCUAUGAACCCUUAGAGUCCUUCGGGAAGGAGAAUCCUAUUGUUAGUUCAUGUCAUCAAGAUUGGAAGGGAGUUUUGCACCAUGUCCUCGGAAUGAUCGAGGUAUCUCGGGAGGAGGUGAUCAGGAAUCCUUCAGAUGACUAUGGGUGUGUAUUUUCUGCUAGUCCUAGGUGGAUGUUAGGAAUAUGUAUCGCUCUGGAAAUUAUGAGUGAGUUUGGAUAAGUCAGAUCUCGGUUUGGUUCUCUACUAUUUUCUGGGUUAUCAAGGAUUUUUAUAUGCAAUCCUGCAUGCCGAAAAGUCAUUGGUGAACCUGCAAAGGGACAUACCUUGCGAGUGGGUUCUACGUGUACCGUUAUCCUUCCGAAUUCUUAUCGGAAUAUGUGCAAGAGUAUUAUUUGCAGGAUAUUUGGUCAGGGUUGGACUGAUAGUUAUCCAGUGAAGUCAGAGUUCAGUGGUUCCAUCAUUGUUCGGGUAUGGUUGACAAGUGUCUAUGGAAGAACCUUGUAGUUUGAGGCACUACCAUUGCUAGGAAAGGACUGGUAGCAUGAAUAUGGUAGUGUCAGUUGUGGGUGUUAGAUGCAUAAACGGUUGAUCGUUGGAUGGUCAUGAGAAUCGCAUUUUCGCAUGGGUUGUGUUCGGUAGAGCUAAGUGGUGCUGCAAGAUUGGAAGUAGGAAUGAGGAUUUAUCAACCAGGGUAAAGAUUAAGACCUCUAGUUGUCAGCAGGGGAGGUGGACGGAGGUGUCGAACCCGACCAAAUUUCAAGAGUACUCUUCAAGAUUUUAGAGGAUGGGCGAUCUCAGUGUUUAACCGGUGAUUGAUUGCUAGCAUUGGUAAGCACAGGUUGUCAUCAGUGGAUUAUUAAGAAGCAAGAAGGAUUAGAAAUCCUUCAAUUCUUAUGUGUUGUGAAGACUUGGUCGAAUCUAAGUGGGGGAGAAUCAAUCAGGUACCCAGGAGAAGAAAUGGGUAUGGAACUAGGAUGAGUUUUGCGUCCCUGUCAGAGGGGGAGGGGGUCGAGUAACCAUCUAGGUUGAGGAAUUGUGGGAGUUGGGAGCUCAGGAAAUGUCCCAACAUUUGGUCUAUGUUUUCCCUUGGCAUCGGAUAGCAGGCCUCGGGAAACUGGUCAGGGAUUUCAGACAGGACAUGAGUUCAGAUUAGGAUAUUAGAUUGUGUAUGUAUGCUCGACCUUAGGUGCGUUCAGAUUAGUAAUCAAUGGUAAGAACAUGGUUAGUGGUGGAGUUAGCGUGGAAAGUGAUAUAAGACUGUGGGUGUAGCCGUAGCAUUCACAAGGUUCUCAUGUAGUGUUGGAGGUGUUGUAAGUCUGUGGGUAUAGCUAUAGCAUUCACAAGGUUCUCAGACAGCGUUAGAGUGUUGUAAGUCUGCGGGUGUAGCCGUAGCAUUCACAAGAUUGGAAGAUAGUGCUAGAGUGUUGUAAGUUUGUGGUUGUAAUCGUAGCAUUCACGAGGUUGUAAGAUAAUGCUAGAGUGUUGUAAGGCUGCAGGUGUAGUCGUAGCAUUCACAAGGUUAGAAGAUAGUGCUAGAGUGUUGUAAGACUACAGGUGUAGCCGUAGCGUUCACAAGGUUUCCAGUUAGUGUUGGAGGUGUUGUAAGUCUGCGGGUGUAGCCAUAACAUUCAUAAAGUUGUUAGAUAGCGUUAGAGCGUUGUAAGUCGUGGGGGUAGCCGUAGUUUUCACUAGUUUGAUAGAUAAUAUGGGAGUGAUGUUAGAUCGCGAGAAGUACAGUAGUACCACCAGUUCGGGUGCAGUAGUGAGGAUAUGGAAAUCCACAGAUUGGGUUACGGAAUUACCCUGAUGGGUUAGAACUGGUUGAGCCAACGAUAAGACCGUGGGGAUGCCACGACAGUCAUGGGAUCAAGGGAACAAUAGUCCGCAUAAGGUUAAUUAUGAUAUAAUGCUAUCUUCAGUCAUGUAGCAAUCACUUUUAGCCUUGGAUGUGGUGACAUCGGAAUUUGACGUAUGGAUCGAUCAGUCGGAUCGGGAGGUCGUUAGGGCCAGAGUGGCAAGAUAACUAAUGGAAACUAUUAACAGAUGAGGAGUUUGCUCGAAAGUCGCUUAGGGAGACUGUGUGGGAGUCUUUUGGCUCUGUAAUCGGGCCGAAAACAGUAGUUCAGAUGACUGGCAGACGAAUCGAGACCACGAAGGUCUCAAUGGAUUUUGGAAAGCAGCCGAGAAGUAGCAUAUUAUUCAGGCCGUUUAGUGUUUCAGUCCAUUCAUCGUUUCAGACCGUUCAAUGUUUCAGGCAGUUUAAUGUUUCAGACAGAUCAACGUUUCGGGCAGUUCCAGUGUAUCGGACAGUAUUGGUGAUUUUAGGAUUUCAUGUAUGGACAGAGUAACUGGUUGAUGGGAAGCAAUAAGUCACUCGCAGUGGGAUUAAAUAAUCUCAGAGUAGUUGAUUUGACUCUAUUGCACAGCUCUUGUAUGAGUCUAACUGUUGCAGGGAUGUAUCUUCUACUCGAAGGAUUACCUGAGCGCUCUGUCAAGUAUCAGUAUUCUACAGCUAGUUAUGGACAAGGAUUUUGUUCUGGUGAUAGAAUUGAUAUAAUUAGUACUAGGGAGUGUGCAUGUAGUCAGUUGCUUGAUGAGGUCUUGGCGCAGAAGUUUUGGGGAUAUAGGCGGUCCGUCUGGGAGACAGACCAUUAUAGAAUUCAGAUCUCGGAAGAACAGAAGUAGUUCUCGACAUGACAAUAAGGAUUGAUUCUUUGUCGGUUUGGAAAGUCCUAGUAGUUGGUUUCAGCUGCCUUGGGAAGGCCACUGAAUGUUGGGAGUGACAGUUAUACCACCAGGAUCACGGGUGUCACUCCCGUGGAAUUCAUCAGAUGGUUCAGGGUGGGUAGGAGUCAAGCUGCGGGUUUGAGUGCGUGAGAUGUAUCCGGGAUAGAGGAUUGUAGAGGAAUUCGAGGAUGAAGUCUAGUUUAAUUGGGGGAUAUUUGUAACACCCGGAGUCCAGGAGACCUAGAAAGGAAAAAAAACAAUAAAUGAAGAGGAACUCGCUAAGUCCAGGGAGGAACUCGAUGAGUAGGAGCAGAUUUUGGGACGCUGGUAAAAUAACCUAGUCGACGAGUUGGAGGACCAACUCGGCGAGUUGGUCGGGGUUUGAGAAACCCUAAAUCUGGGUCUAGUACCCUAUUUAAGCAUCUUAUUCUCCUCCCAUGCAGCCCCCAUCAUUUCCCUUAGUCUAGAAAACCCUAACUCGCGACCCUUGAGCUUUGAUGAGUGUGUGAGUCAUUUUUUAGAGUGUUUGUGUGAUCUUGAAGCUAGAAGAAGAAGAAGAAGAAGAAGAAGAAGAAGAAGGAUCUAGAAGGCUCAAUGAAGCAGUAGAUCCAGGGUUCAAGCUCCAUUUCCAAUCCCUUUAGGGGUAUAAAGUUGCUUCCUUGACUUCCCUAUUGCUAGAUCUCUCCAUGUUUAAGUUUAGGACCAUCUUUUAGCAAUUUGUGAACCUUUUUUUAGUAUGGAGUGUGAUAUAAAGUAGUAACUUUAGAUCUAGAUCCCUUUCAGCCCCUAUAUCCAAAAAGUUCAUGAAUUUAUCCUGCUUUAACCCUUCCCUUUGGCCUAGACUUCAUUUUAGACUUGGAAAUAAUGUUUUGGCUCAUAACACCUUGCAUGCACGUAAAGCUUGUAACUUUGCAUGUAAAAUCAACCCUCGGAGGUCAGAUCUAUGUUUUAGAUGCGUUAAGCCUAACUGAAAUCGACUAUAUGGACUUGGAAUUUAGGGGACUCGACAAGUCGUUCAUAAGACUCGGCGAGUCGGGUCAUGGUUCCCCAACCUUUUCUGUUUUGAAGCAAUCUGAUUGGGUCUGGAAGAGGACUCAACAAGAUGGACGUGAAUAUGGACUUGAAGAUCAAGGAACUCGACGAGUUCAAGGAUGAACUCGAGAAGUUCAAUGUAAUGUCUUGACUGAUAUGAAGAAGAACUCGACGUGUUCAAGAAAGAACUUGGCGAGUCAAGGGCUAUACAUUCCAACUUAUAUGAAGCAGGACUCGACGAGUUCAAGGAUGAACUCGGCAAGUCAUGAGCAAAAAGGCCCCGAUUCUGCAUGAAGAAGAACUCGAUGAGUUCUUCAAAGACUCGACGAGUAGGAUCGAAGUUUCGGUAUUUUGUGGAUUAUGGAACUCGAUGAGUUGGUGGAGCAACUUGGCGAGUUGAGUCUACCAGAUGUUGACUUUGACCAAAAUUUGUCUUUGACCAGGGUGUUGGCCUUGACUUUGACUUUCACCUGAGUUGACCCUUGAAAGGGUUAUGAGCAUGAAAUGGUAAUUAAGGAAGGAUGUUGUGUAGGAGUUUGAGGAGUUUUAAGAGGAGUUGAUCCCAACACCGAGCACAAUUCAGAUACUACACGACAUUGAGGUGAGUUACUAUCAUAUAGAAGUGGGUCUAAGGUACCAAGGUCGGCCCACUAGUAAGAGUUAUAGUAAAGACAAUUUUCUUCAUGAUAAUUGUUUGGUAUGUUGUUAUCAGUUAUAAUUGUGUGCUGGCCUGAUAUGUUCUUAUGUGAUAGUAGGUAGUAGGGGGAUUAGUCCUCGUGUUAUGGUCGUAUGCACCGAAGGGUAGGUCAGGCACCCCUGAUAUGCCUGACAGUAUGUUUAUGCUUUGUUAUUAUGUAGUAGUAGUAGGGGUGAAAUAGUCCCCGUAGCCGGUUGAGAUAAACUGGAGGGUAGGUUGGCACCACAGAAUUGCUAGACAGGGUAGGUCGUCACCCUAGAAUUGCCAGACAGGGUAGGUUAGUACCGUAGAAUUGCCUGAUAGGGAAGGAUGGGCACCCAAGAAUUACCGGACAGUAUGUUAGUUAUGUGGUAUGUGGUAUGAUGGGGGAACUCACUAAGCUUUGUGCUUACGAUUUUUAGUUUUGGUUUCAGGUACUUCGUUUUCAAAGGAAAGGAUCUGGCGAUCGAAGCGCAUCACACUUUGUUUUCCGCACAUGAGAUCUUUGGGAUUACACUCUGGUAUUAUUUUAUGAUAACAUGUUUGACUAUUGACACUUUGGUUUUGACAUGAGAUGUUAUUAUGGAUGUUUUUGUACUAAUUGGUUUUAUGAAUUGUUAAACUAAAAACAAAAUUUUUGGCCUUAAAUUUUGGGAUGUUACACAAGUGGCAAGAAAAUCUAGAUAUUUAAAGAGAAUUCGGCCAAAACUUGGGUGAUUUCGGUCAAGGCAUGGCCGAAAUCACUUAGUACACAACUCCAAUUGUUGAUUUCGGUCCUAUUGGGCCUUAACCAUGUGAUUUCGGUCUUGGUGUCACCAAAGAAAAGGGUGAUUUUGGUCCUAACAUCCUUAAAGGAAUUGAUUUCGGUUCUAGCAUCCUUAAAGUAAGUGAUUUCAGUCCAGAAGUAUUUCCUAGAUUCCCAAAACCGAAAUCCCUAAAUUAAUUUAAAAUUUCAUGCUUUUAGACUUAUCAUUUUGACUUGUGUUGACUCCUUUGAUUCCUUGAUGACUUGUCGACUUUAUUUGACUUUCAAAGGUCCAUUACUACACGUCAUUCAAAGUGUAUAUACAUGUUAACUUAUAUAAACAUGCUCUCAUGGUUUUCAAAUUUCUAUUGCAUCAAGUAUGUUGUGAAUUUACUUUUACAUGGUUAUAAUUUAGACCUUGCUUGCUCUAAAAUUUUCCAGUUGUCAUAUCAUCCCCCCGUUAGAAGGAAUUUCGUCUCGAAAUUAGUUUCAGAGUGGUUACUCAUGAGCUAAGGAAGAGAUUUGGGUACUUUUGUUUCAUCUGAUUUUCUCGUUCCCAAGUGAAUUUAGGUCCUCGUUUGGUGUUCUACCAGACCUGCACUAUUUGUAUAAGACUUUGUUUCGUUCUCUUCAUCUGUCCAUGAUUUCUGUUGGUUCUUCUACGAAGUGUAGACUCUUAUUUACCUUGACUUCAUCGAAUGGAAUUACUAGAGUCUCGUCGAACAAAUACUGUUUUAGAUUGGGCGUGGAAGAUGGGGUGUAUGUUACUAAGUUCCUGCGGUAGUUGAGGUUUUCAAAGAUUUCUGUAACGAUUGUCAAAAACGUGAGCCGAAUUGAUUGUCCCUUAUCUGUGAUAAUUGAUAGCGGUAUACUUUGCAGUCUCACAACUUCCUUGUUGUAUGUUCUUGUCUGUUUUUCUAUUUUAUCUGUUGUUUUGAUCAGUAGGAAGUGUAUGGGUUUGGUUCAUCACUCAAAUGGUUGCGUUUCCACCUGCAGUCCUGGGAAACUCUGCCCUAUAAUUCGUGGUAUAACUCAUACCUGGUUCAUCUAUCAUCGCUUUGUGUAUACAAGUCGUAUAUAAUUAAGAUUGGAAAGACAGUCGGAUAAGUGAUUCAACCUUAUGCCCACAACCAAACAAGGAACGGGAUUUAUGGUGGGAUCACACAUCCUAAGUCUGUAGAAUCCUAAUUAUAUACCACCCUUACGUAUGCACCUAGUAUUGAUAAAGUACCAGCAUGGUUCCUUAGUUUCUACAUGAGUGAUGCGAUUAGUUUGGGUGAGAAGGUAAUUACAACUACUUUUUCCAUAGCAACUGUGUUUUAGGUCGAUUCUUGAACUUGACUUGUUGUUCGAGUGGUAUUCUCAAGAGGUCUCCUGGGAGUACUUCGGAAAGUUUACGGACUUCUGGAAUAUCCCUGAUGUCUCACACUUCUUGUUUCUUGUUCACGACGUAGGUUAGUAAAGCUUGUUACCUCUUGUGUAAGUACUUUUGAGUCUUGACGAAAGGGAUGAUUUGAGAGUUUGAGUCGGGUUGGUCAUCAUAAGUGACGAGGGUUUCAUUAGUUGGUAGGUUAAGGAGAACGGAUUUUUCAUACAUAUGAUAUUGGUACGGUUAGGACUUAACCAAUACGUGCUAGUGAUCACGAUGAAAAUUUUCUAUUGUAACUAUUAUUAGGCCGAUUUGGAAGGAUUUGCUGCUUUAGUGUUUGAGUGCAUCCUAUGUAUAUAUCUUUAGUGUUUUUUAGUUUUUACAUUUUGUUAUUUCUACUAUGAAUAUUUCAUCCCACAAUUUAGUAAUUACAGGUAGUACAAGGGUUUUGCUAAAUUAGUAAUGAAAUCUCAUAGAAUGAUCCCUACCAGGUCCUUUUAUGAUCGCUUGGUGUAUACAAGUCAUAUAUAAUCAAGAUCGAACAGACUGUCGGAUAAGUGAUUCUACUCUAAGCCCACAACCAAACAAGGAAUAGGAUUUAAAAUGGAACCACGAAUCCUAAGUCCAUAGAAUCUUAAUUAUAUAUGACCCUAAUGUAUACAGUAAGCCAUCAUAGAUCAUCCAUAAGGAUCAUUAGUUUUUAUAUGAAUGAUGUGAUUUAUUUGGAAGAGGGGAUAACUUAUGAAUAUGCUUUAUCGCAUUUCGAGAUCAUUGUUUGAUAAGAUCUAAUUGGCACUCGUUUUAGUGAAUAUUAGACGCUUAAAUAUUUCUAUUUGAAAACGUACCAAUAACUACAGUUGGUUCUGGGAGAGUCUCUCCUACAGUGAUCAUCAAUACAGUUGGACACUGCCUUUUGAAAUGCCCCGACUCACCACAAUCGUAGCAGGUACGACUCACUCCAGCAUUGGCGACUUGGGUGAUUUGUUGUGCGGGAGUCCUAUAAAAACAGGCAGCGUGCCCCUUUUUUUUGCAAAUGUUGUAGUACAUUUAUUGGUAGCCUCUAUUGUGAUGGAAGUUGCAUUUUCCGCAUUUGGGUAGGUUGCCAACAUAUUGUCUUAAUGGUGUUGUAGGUGAUUGGUUUUGGUCCUAAGAACAUCCUAUGUGCUCAUACAAACCCUAAUGCUUGGAUCUAGGUUUCUCUAUUGUACAUGCAUGUUAUCCAAGACUAUAAACCCUAAUUCUAGCAUUCAAGUAAUCAUAUUAACAUGAGAAUAGGUUUAAGAUAUUACUUUGAUUGUUAUAUAGCAAUAACAAUCCCAAAUCCUUCUUCUAUUGACUUUAGAAAGCUUAGAGUCACAAAUGUCACUCCUCUAAUGGUUCACAAACACCAAGAGCAAGAGGAUGAGGAGGAGAGAGGAUGGAGGCUUCCCUAAAACGUGUGAAACCCUAGAAGGAUGCUUAGCCACGUUUUUGGGUCAUAAGGGAUGUAUGUAUAGGAGGCUAUUAGGGUUAUCUUAACAAGGAAACCCUAAUUUGGAUGCUUAAGCCCUAAGCAACCCAUAGAUUCCUUUCCUUAAGGCCUUGGAUGAUUUCCUCAUGGGUUUCCCCAUGGAAUUCGUCCACUCCUUAAUAUAAGGCAAUCUAUGGCCCAAAUUGCAAUUAUCUUAUAAUUACAAUUCUAGUCCCUUAAGUUUAAUUAAUCUCUUUUAGUCACAAAACUAAUUACCAAUUAAUUAUUGACUAAUAUUAAUUAAACAAUAUGAUUUCUCCUUUAAUAUAUUAUUCUCAUAGUAUAUUAAUAAAUCAUAUUUAAUCCUUUCUCUCUAUAAUUCAUCCUAUCAAGUUGCUUUGGUGAAGGCAACCCAAAAGGACCAUGCACCAUCGGGUCAAGUACAUACCAAAAUAGUUAUGGACUUAGACACUAAUCCAACAGUAGGGUUAAAUGGCAAUGUGGACACCAAUGAUUUGUUGUUUCUUAGUGGGCUAUCUCUUCCUCUAAGGAGUAUAGGUGGUCCAUAAUGUUUUCCUAAUCUGCUGGUAGGUGUGGCAUCCAUAUGGUGUCCUUGUUCCCCGUAGUUGUGUUAAUUUUUGCACCGUCAUGUUCCGAGCUUUGCUACUGAUCUCCAUUACAUCGUCACAGAGAGUCUAAACCCGAAUUUCCGAUCGGGCCUCUCAUGCUACGAUCAGGAGUAGUGUUUGAUUUGUAUGUGCUAAGGCCCGAAGUAUAGUGUAGUGGGUGUACUUAUAUUGUGGUGAUGUAUCUUGGAAAGAUAGAGGUGAAAGGGUCUUAUGCCUACUCCUAGUAAGGUAAGGUUCCUUAACAAUCUAACGGGCGCCCUUCUCUUCAUCUGAUCUCUUCUCAGGAUCCUUCUCAUAAACUUCUUUUGGUUCUUCUUCAAUUCAUCUAUUGGCUGUAGUGGUAGGGUUACAGUGUCUAGAUAUGCCGUUGGUGCGAGAAUAGGGGUCUAUAAAGAAUCUAUGAGGUUAAUAGAAGCAUUUUUAAUGAAGUUUUUAUGACGUGAUCCUUAACGGGUCCUCCUAUAAUCACAUAGUGUAUACAAGUUGUAUAUAACCAAGAUCGAAUAGACCUUCGAAUAGGUGGUUCCACUCUACGUCCACAACCAAACAAGGAAUAGGAUUUAAAGUGGAAUCAUAAAUUCUAACUCUAUUAAAUCUUAAUUAUAUAUAACUCUAAUGUAUACACUAAACAAUUAUAGACCUACCAGUAAGGGUCUUUAGUUUUCAUAUGAAUUAUCUAUAGUAUCAUAAAAUACUCCUAUAAUAUUUUAAUUUCUUAUGAUUCUAGAAUUUUCUUGGUAUAUAUAGAGCUGGUAAGUUUUAGAUAUGUUGCUCACCACGACUAUUCCCAAGCAUAUGCUAGUCACCCCUCAGAUAAAUAUAGUUGAUGAGGCUAUAUUCAUCUAAGACCUGAUUACAUAUACCAAGGUUUACUCAUAGUGUCCAACUUAUCUUAAUACUUUUAUUUUAUUCUCAUUAUGACACUGCUCUAGUAUGUAUGUAUGUGUGUAUGUAUGUAUACUUCUAUAAAUAUUAUUAUAUUUAAAAGUAUAACUCUUGGUCAGAGUGUUUUAGCCCCAUUGUAUUUAUUGUUGUAUAUCUUAUAUGGUUUGAUAUAUUUAGUUCACUAUAAACAUUGCUCUGAUACCAAUCGGUCACACCCCCAAACCGGAAUGGCGGAAACAUCCGGGGGUGGGUGAUGUCAUGUACAGUAUCAUAACAAUUAAAUAGUAGUAAUCAAGGCAGCACAACCAUCAUACUGAAAAUAUAUAAUUCACAUUUUGUUCGAAUCAUUAUUUGUUUGACACCAAAACUAUAGCCAAAAACUAAGAUGUGACGCUACUAUACUCCUUCUUCUCGAAACCUGUGUGGGUACCUGUCUACUAAUUUUCAAAGAAUACAAGUGGUUUGAAAAAGUGUCAAAAUUUAAGUUGGUGAGUUCAUAAGCAUUUUGUAUGCAAAGGUAUGUUCUUUGUUCAUUGAAAAUAUUAGUGUGUUCUUCCAGAAAAUCCAAUAUUUUCUUUGUAUAAGUGUUGUAGUCUUACUACCUUAAGACCAAAAAGUGUAAGUUUCUUAUGUUUAAAAUUUGUAAUAUGAAGUUCUAAUUUAUAUAAGUGGUGUGACCCAUAUGGGUACCUCUUAUGAUCACUUAGUGUAUACAAGUUAUAUAUAAUCAAGAUCGAACUGACAGUCGGAUGAGUGAUUCUGCCCUAAGCCCACAACCAAACAAGGAACAGGCGGAAUCAUACAUUCUCAUGCGUAUAGGAUCUUAAUUAUAUAUAACCGUGACGUAUAUGCUAAGUAAUCACAAAGUUACCAAUAAUGGUCUUUUCAGAAGUGUAAGUUGCACUAUACUAGAAUAAUAGAGUACUACAAUUGUAUUUGUAUGUAACCCUUUUAUAUGUGUGUUUCUAGGAAUGUAAAUUGUGUUUUAAUGGAAAAUCAUGUAAUGUAGUUUUAUUACUAAGUAAAACUAGUUGAAGAUGUGUUUGCCCCGUAAAAUAAAUGUAAAGUAAGUAACCCUCUAAGACUGUUUGAAAAAAUAUAUUACUCCGUAAAUGUGUCGUUGUUUUCUCCAUGUGAGUUCCUAUAACCAUACUAUGACCCAGUCGGUCUGAUACGACAUUCUUCAGGCGUCAAAAUAUUAACGAUAUUUGUCACCCCAGACUUAUCGGUCCAACUAUAGCUAAUAGUCAGGGUGUGGGAUUGUCGGUACCAUAUAGAUCGAUACACAAAUAUCUCGCUCUCCCUACAAGAGACUCUGGUUAUAAGUCAGGUCUUUUUUCGGUACUUAGGUAAGUACGUGAAGACGUGUCUCACAAAUUUAUUGCUUCAACAAGUUUACGAGUAAUGAAAUGAAAACCCUUAAGAAAUGAAAAUGUAAAAGCCUUUAGUAAAUGAAAAUGUAACUUUUCCAUAGAAAUUUUUGAGUGUAUAAAUAUUGUAAAAUGACCUAUAAACUAUACCUAUUAUAUAGUUUAUAAUGUAUGUUCUUUUGAAAUGACAAACCUUUGAAUUUUAACAGCUUUUUAUGUAAGAGUUUAUAAUUUUUGUAGUAACGUUAUUUAACUUUUUUCCGUAAAGUGUACAUAAAGUAUAAGAAAACAUAAUAAGAGACCUGUAUAUUUACACAAGUAUUCUUGUGUUUUAACUUGUAUUCUCCCCCUAAAACAUAAAAAAAAAGCUUGAAAUGUGGAGGUAUGAACUGACCUCGACUGUGAUCGUGGUUAGAUGACAAGGUAAAAAUGGUGAUCUUCGAGUUAGAACGCUAGAAGGUAGUUGUAUCCUAAUCAUUUUAAACACAUAAUAAUAUGUUAAAAUUAAAUGAACUAUCAUGGUAUUGUGGUUGUAUAACACUAGGUUAUAAGAAAUGCUUACCAAGAUUCUAAAGAAUAACUUUGAAGAAAUAGACUUCCUGGGAUUGUUUUGAACUUGGGGUUGAAAGGAAAAUGGGUUUGUGUUCUGAGAGAUUAUGAAGUGAAGUUUGUUUACUGUAAAUGUGGGUUGAUAGGAUCAUAAUUUGUGACUUAUAUAGGAAGAAAUAAUAUAAGAUGAUGCGAUAUAUGCAUUGGUAAGUGUAAUAUAUCACAUUGGGAAGAGUAUCAACCAAUCAAGUGGCAAGAAAAUCUAGAUAUUUAAAGAGAUUUCGGCCAAAAAAUGGGUGAUUUCGGUCAAGUCAUGACUGAAAUAACUUAGUACACAACUCCAAUUGUUGAUUUCGGUCCUAAUGGACCUUAACAAUGUGUUUUGGGUCUUGGUGUCACCCAGGAAAAGGGUGAUUUCGGUCCUAACAUCCUUAAAGGAAGUGAUUUCGGUUAUAUCAUCCUUAAAGGAAGUGAUUUCGGUCCAGAAGUGUUUCCUAGAUUCCCAAAACCGAAAUCCUAAAGUAAUUUACAAUUUCAUGCUUUUAGACUUAUCAUUUUCACUUAUGUUGACUCCUUUGAUUCCUUUAUGGCUUGUCGACUUUAUUUGACUUUCAAAGAUCCAUUACAACAUGGCAUUCAAAGUGUAUAUAUAUGUUAACUUAUAUAAACAUGCUCUCUUGGUUUUUAAAGUUCUAUUGCAUCAAGUAUUUUGUGAAUUUACUUGUACAAGGUUAGAAUUUAGACCUUGCUUGCUGUAAAAUUUUCUAGUUGACCCAGUAAUAAUACUAGGUUUCGUCGAAGGAAAAUAGAAUCAUUAGAAUCGAAGCGCUGCCCGAGUUUGGAAUCAUCACUUUAAAAGGUGAGUGCAUAGUUACUUUCAUCUUACACAUAGAUAUGAAGUAGUUACUAUUAAUACGUGUUAUAUGUUCUUAUUAUCAAUGUUCCUGAUAUCUAUGCUAGAUGAACGAUUUAUACAUGUUUUGCUUGAUUUAAACAGUAUAUGUAUUUUUAUACCUAUAAAUAUAUUGGGUAAAGAUGAGUAGAUAAAAGAUGAUAUAGAUGAAGAGAGAUGAAAGAUGGUAUAGUAUGAUGAAAGAAAGGAUGUCAUAGUAUGACAAAAGAAGUAGGCAAAUAUAGAAUGCCACGACUUUAGAAUUGUUAUUUUAUCAACGAUGUAGUGACUUAGCAAAGAAUAGGUGACAACUAUCGGACUAAUUAAUGAUAGACCUGUAGAACACUGGCAGCUAUGGACUUAGUGCCCUAUAGGUGAACAUUGGAAGCUACGGACUUAGUGCCUUAUAUAUGAACGUUGGCAGUUGUGGACUUAGUGCCUUAUAAAUGAACAUUGGCAGCUAUGGAUUUAGUGCCAUAUAGAUGGAUAUUGGCAGCUAUGGACUUAGUGUCUAUUAGAUAACAUCGGCAGCUAUGGACUUAGUGUUUGUUAGAUAAACCCUGGCAACGAUGGACUUCGUGCCUAUUCCUUAGGACAAUCCUUAUGAAUGAAUGAAGGAAGAAUAGAUGAUUCUUAGGGUAGAUCCUUAAGAAUAAAGAAGAUAAUAGGGAUGGGAGGUUGGGUUAAUUGUUUGAUGAUUAAACAUAAUAACUACGUUAUUGUGGGUUGAAAACCCUAUGUACUCACCAGGUUUCCCAGCCUGACCCACUCAGUUUAUUUGUAUUACAGGUAUCGAUACGAAGCUACAUUACACUAAGAGAUUAAAGGAGAUGUAAAUCACUACUGUAAAUGAAUGUAAGGUCUGUUUAUGCUAAUGUUUCUGUAUUGACGAUGACAUCCCAAAGUUUUAAUAUAAAUAAAAUACAUUUCUUCAGAAAUGCUUUGAUAAUAUAUUUAUCAUGUUUUCUAGGAAAAAAUUCUACAAUUUUAUUCUUUAAAAUGAAUACACUGAUUUUAAAAUAAGCAUAAAUAAAAUUUUAAAAAUGACCGUGAAUUUAGGGAUGUCACAGUUGGUAUCAUAUCAUUAGUUUAAGCGAACUAGUAAUAAGGAUUUAUUUCUAGAGCUAAACUUAUAAUGCUAAGCGAUGAUCGGGAGGCGUGUGUCUAAUAUAUUUUAGGAAGUACCCUUGACUAGACACGAGAAAUAGCUCAUUUAGGGAAGAUGUCUAAAAAGCUUUUAUGUGCUAAAUGAAUUGUGGUGCUUUGUGAUUCUAUCCUUUGAUCAGAUCUAUGGUCUGUUGUCGACCGGAUCUGGAAACUUUAUGUGUUCAAAUUUCUAAACGUUUAAUUAUGGUAUUAGAUCUGCCAUGUAACUUUUCAGAGUUAUAGGGAGGUUUAUACGUUUGAUUCCCCUAUCUAAAUUAUCGUCGCUGUACACUGAACGUUUAAUUUGUUGUAUAGAUCAAAAUGGUGAGAACUCGGAGCAGAUUAGGAAAUGCAAAUGGAAACCAAUAGCCACAAGUGAUUUACUGUGCACAAGAGGUAGCAGUUGCACCCAAGUUAAUCACGAUGGCUAGAGUCCAAGAAAUGAUUCGGGCUAUGAUGGUUGAAAAAGGGGAGGAGAUGAGGAAAAUAUUGCUUAAUAAGGAUGAACCUACUGUGCCUAUUGUGUAGUCCGAACUAAAUGAAGAACUAUCAUAGGAGGGAAAUUAUAGCCAUAUUGUGAGUCAAGUUAGACCCUAAGUGGUCAGGAGGAAUGACCAGGAUAAAAGGAUUGACAGGGAUGGGCGUAUGUAUAAGAACUUCUUGGGGUGCCAAACCACCAAGUCUUUCUGGAAGCCCAAAUCCAGUGGAAGUUAUGGACUGGAUCUCCGAGAUGGAAAUAGUAUUUGAAAGCUGCAACUGCAGCGAUAAGCAAAAGAAUGUAUUUGCAGUCAGACAACUAAAGACCGAAGUUUUGAGUUGGUGGAAGUUGUUGGCAGAUACAAUGUCACGGGGAGAAACCAUGCGGAUGUCUUGGGAAGCAUUCAUGGAGCAGUUGAAAACGCAAUACUGCUCAUAGAUAGAUCUUAUAGACCUAAACAAUGAGUGAUAGAACCUAAAAAAAGGAAGACGAGUGUUGAUGAGUAUGCCACCGCAUUCACUGAUAGGAUGAAGCUAUUGCCCUACUUGGUGCCUACUACACUUUCCAAGAUAGAUAGAUUUGCUAAUAGACUUUGGCCCAACGGUUAAAAUCUCAACUACUUUGAAGACAGUCGUUAGAGCAACUAAGAAUGUAGAGACCCAUAUAAGAGAAAAGGGUCUAGAAAAAGAUAAGGUGGGAGAAAAGAGGAAAAUGAAGGUAUCCUCAAUAUUUGAUAAAAAGGGAAGAUUCUCAAAGUCCAACCUGGAUGACCAAAAGUAUGGAGCCAAGUGGUGUGAAAAGUGCAAGAAAAAGCAUUAUGGGAGAUGCAACGGACAAGUGACUUGCUACACAUGUAGGAGGAUUGGACACUAUUCCAAGGAUUAUACAUUUAAUGAUAAGGUAUGAUAUCGAUGUGGAAGGAGCAUAUGUCAAAAGAUUGCCUGAAGAAAAAUGAAGCAGCAAGGCUAAAUGUGUCACCAAAGCCGGAGGCAAGAGCAUUCAAGAUGAUCCUUGACGAAGCAGGUGACAAUGAAAGGGUUCUAGAGUGAGGAUCUAUAUAUCCAAAGAUCGAGAUAUGAAGUAGCCAUAUAAAUAGUAUCAUGUGGUGUAGCCUAAUAUAAGAAGCAUAGUGUAGGGUGAACUUGAACAUCUAUGUAAACGUUUCAAGAAAUAAUAUAAACCUUAGUUAUGUUAUCCGAUGUGUUAAAUGACUAUGUGAAAUUCUUGUAUGGUGACUUGUAAAACUGCGAGACAAUACUUGGGAUACGUAUGAGUAGGUGUGAAAGGUAGUAGAGGCCUAUACUAUCGGAAUCACAUGGCUUGCACUUGGAUCAGGGAAAGUCACAAGGUUACCUAGGUAAUAGUAAUUGAUUCUAUUUUGUUCAUGUCCGUCGUUACCAUCAUUUCGGUAAUGACUAAGAAGAUGAUUGUUAUUCCAACCCUAGUGGUCAUAUCAAAUCGAGUCUGACUACGACGAGUAUGUUACGUGGUUCAGAGAACCAAGUUCGAUGUAGCAUCUGACUUAAGCCAGAAGAUCGAAAUGAAAGCGAUCAGUAAAAGUAUCGCGAUCAUUUUUAAAGUAAGAACUUGUAGCUAGAAGUGCUACAUGCUAUAAUGUGAUUAUAUCACACUAGAACAUGAAGGAAGCUAUAUUCCAUUCUGAAAUUUGGCUCUAAAGGACCUGAGUCUAAGCAUUGCAUCAUACGAUGAGAGGUCAUUAGAACAUGACACAUCAUUAUGUUACAAUUAUCGAAGUAAAGUCUAUUUAAGAAGGAGCAAGAGUCUCCAAUAAGGAUCGAUUUUGUAACUCAAAUAUUAUGAUUGAAAGUCCAACAUAGGAUAAAGAGCGGGUUUAAGAUUAAGCACCGCUUGCAAUCAAGGAGUCCAAGACUUAGAUAGUCAUUUGAAGGAACUUAGAAGUUAUGAUUAUUACCUAGGAUGAAGAGAUAACAUAUGGAGUCAUUAUACAAGCCUUGUUUCGUUGAUAAUUCUGGGACAUAAUCAUCCUAAAGGGGAGAUAAUUGUAACGCCCGUAGAUUCGGGCUAGUCAAUUUAGAGACAAUAAACGUCAAAAAAAUGAAUUUUUGAUAGAAUAUUAUUUAGAGUAAAUAAUCUUAAUCAUGUUAUAGUAUGUGUCACAAGGAUUCCAUACAUACAAAUAACACUGAAAUCCGAGUUAUAACGAAAAAGCUAUAACAUGUCGAAGUUUUACGGCAAAACCGACACGACACAUGGAAUCGUAAAAAGUGAGUUUGUGAUAAAAUACUUUUUAGCCUUAGUGAUCUAAAGGAAAUCCGUAGUAUACAUUAAGCCAAUAGUGUGCAUAAAAAGAACGUCCAAACCUGACUUCGUAUGAGGAAGUUAUGAUUUUUAUAAGAUUUAGCAUAGCAUUGCACAGCCCGGAAUUCGAAUUUUAGAUUGACCGAAUUUUAGCCGACACAAUCUAAACAAGAAUCUAAGAUCUCGUUAAUAAGAACUCAAUGAUAAAAAAAAACAGACGAAAACAGAUGUCAGAUGACAAAGUUAUGAAUUUUUAACGGAUUUUAACUGUCUAAGUCUGUUAAAAUAUAACUUUAAAAAUAAAUUCAAAAGUAGCCAAUGGGGUCUAAAUAAAAGUUGUGGAUCAUGUUUCCACCUACACGUGGAUAUGAAGAACGUCAAAAAUGGAGCUUGUAUGCGAAAGUUACGGAUUUUAGAAGAUAAUUAGCUUUCGAAAUAAUCUGUGAGUGACACGUGGCCCAAUCCUGGCCAUUGCUUCCUCCCCACGCCUUGCCACCAGAUGGUGACACUUGGCACUCCACUAGACGAGUUGGAGGCUCAUAACUCACUGAGUUGGGCCAUUUCCCAGCCUAUAAAUAGAGGCGCAAAUCGUCCAUUUCCUUUACACCUCUCCCAUUCAUUCUCUCUCAAACAUCUCUCUAAACCCCUUCCAAGCCUUAGUACUUCCCAAGUGCUAAGAGACAAAUUCUGAAGCGCCAGAAGGCUCGGAAGUUCUGCCCCCUAGAGCCCGGUUCCAAACCAAACCUCCUAGUAAGUGAGUUAUGCUUACCUUACUUUAUGUAUAACCUAUGUUUGAGUUCAAUAUCGUUAUUAUAAACUUAUAAGCAAUAUAUANNNNNNNNNNNNNNNNNNNNNNNNNNNNNNNNNNNNNNNNNNNNNNNNNNNNNNNNNNNNNNNNNNNNNUAUAUAUAUAUAUAAUACAAUAUAAUAUACAAAGUGUUAUUAUAAUAUCUUGUACUACUCGGGAUAUGGCGAAUCUGGUUUGAGGGGCCGCAUAUGGUUGUUGGAUUUCAGAAGUGCUAUAAUUGCAAAAUGAUCCUACCCUCUGGUGUUUCAUGUCUGUCCCCUGUCUGUACAUAGUGGUUAAAAAGGAUUGUUUAACACUUAUAAAACAAUAUCGCUCGUAAAUAGUCUCAAAAAAUAUUAGACUAAAAUCUAGUGGUAAUAAUACUAGGUUUCGUUGAAGGAAAAUAUAAUCGUUAGAAGCGAAGCGCUACCCGAGUUUGGAAUCAUCACUUUAAAAAGUGAGUGCAUAGUUACUUUCAUAUUACACAUAGAUAUGAAGUAGUUAAUAUUAAUAUGUGCUAUAUGUGCUUAUUAUAUGUGUUCCUGAUAUCUAUGCUAGAUGAACGAUUUAUACAUGUUUACUUGAUUUAAAUUGUAUAUGUAUUUUUGUACCUAUAAAUAUAUUGGGUAAAGAUGGGUAUAUGAAACACGAUAUAGAUGAAGAGAGAUGAAAGAUGGUAUAGUAAGAUGAAAGAUGGGACAUCAAAGUAUGACAAAAGAAGUAGGAAAAGAUAGAAUGCCAAGAAUUUGGAAUUAUUAUUUUACCAACAAUGUAGUCACUUACCAAAGUAUAGGCGACAACUACCAGACUAAUUGAUGAUAGUCCCGUAGAACACUGACAGCUAUAGACUUAGUGCCCUAUAGGUGAACAUUGGCAGCUAUGGACUUACUACCUUAUAUAUGAAUGUUGGAUGCUAUGGAAUUAGUGCCAUGCAAAUAAAUGUUGGCAACUAUGGAUUUAGUGCCCUCUAGAUGGACAAUGGCAGCUAUGGACUUAGUGUCUAUCAGAUAACAUCGGUAGUUGUGGACUUAGUGUCUGUUAGAUAAACCCUGGCAACAAUGGGCUUUGCACCUAUUCCUUAGGAUAAUCCUUAUGAAUGAAUGAAGGAAGAAUAGAUGAUUCUUAGGGUAGAUCCUUAAGAAUAAAGAAGAUAAUGGGAUGGGAAGUGGGGUUACUUGUUUCAUGAUUAAACAUAACAACUAUAUUAUUGUGGGUUGAAAAAUCUAUGUACUCACCAAGUUUCCCAACCUAACCCACUCAGUUUAUUUUUAUCACAGGUAUCGAUACAUAGCAACAUUACACUAAGAGAUUAGGGGAGAUGUAAAUCACUAGUGUAAAUGAAUGUAAGGUAUGUUUAUGAUUAUGUGUUUGUAUUCACAAUGACAUCCCACAGUUUUAAUAUAAAAAAAGACAUUUCUUUGGAAAUGUUUUGAUAAUAUAUUAAUCAUGUUUUCUGGGAACAAAUUCCGCAAUAUUAUUCUUUAAAAUGAAUAUUUUGAUUUUCAAAUAAGGAUAAAUAAAAAUUUUAAAAUGACCGUGAAUUUGGAGAUGUCACAAUAUCGAUGAUGAAUUUGUAUAUUUACUAAGAGAGAUUUGAGAAUCGGUUUGUGUUGGGCAUUUCUAGCAGCAACAUAUGACCUUUUUAUGUUUAUAUAUAAUAUUUGAAAUGUUUGGCUUUUUAUUGUUGAUUCAAUGACUAUUGACUAAUCAAUAUUUUUUAUGUGGGACAUAAUACUCUCACUAAGCCAAUGUUUCUUCAGGAUACACACAAUGGAAUCCUCUCUCAAAUACCGGUGUAGCCUGAGUCUGGUAACAAAAUUCAUUAUCCAUAAUCCCCCACUAGUUCUUUUCUUUAACUUUACAUAUCUCGCUGGCUUUAUGUGUUCUUCUACUCCUUCCAUACGUUGUUGUUAUAUAUAGAUUUGGCAGAAGUCUAUUUUGGUAUUCUGUGGUUCAAACAUUUCAUUUUUCUCUCCUAACUCAUUUUCAUGUUUGGAUUUUUACUGAAUGGUGGUAGGGGAAGGAAGAAAGCAUGAUUUUAGUGUUGCAAAAUUUGAUAAUUAGACAGUAAUGCUAUGUCAUCAGCUAGGUAAAAUGUAAUUUAUUUUUCUAUGUUAACUUAAUAUAGAGUAUUUAUUUGUGUUUUCGAUAUUAGUGUUGUUUGUUUCGUGUUUGAGAAAGAGUACCAUGUUAGCUAUUAUGAGAAUUCUGAAUUUCUAACUUUGUAUUCGAAUUCUUAGUUUUGACCUAUAUUUGAUUUCCAUCUUGAUUUUCUACUCUAAAAUUAAAAUGAUCAAGAAUUUGACGAUUUUGCCCUUCUUUUUUCGUUUUUUUGAUAUCUGAUUUUCAAGGAGAUUUGUGCCAAAAUUGUUGCUGCUAGAGUAUGUGUCACAACCCAAAACCGAAAUGGUGGAAACGUUCGGGGGUGGAGGACGUCAUGUACAAUACCAUAACAAUGCAAAUUAGUAAACAAUCAUCAACAUCAUCCAUUGCAUUAAUAGUAUAAUUUGAUACAAGAGUGUUCUUUAUAUAGAAUAAGACACCAAAAAUGUAUAAUCAAAAUAAAGACGAGUCUUGAACAUGCUCCGUCUUCUCAAAACCUGGUCAUCGAUACCUAUUUACAGGUGACCAGAGAAUACAAGUUAUUUUGAAAGCGUAGAUCUGCAUUUAAGCUUAUCAGUUCAUACAUAUUUAGUGUCAAUGUUUGUAUAAGUUUGCUAAAAGUGUUUAUAAAUGUUCAAUGUAAAAGUUUGUAUAUGUUUGAAAGCUCCAAGAAGAUCCUAUAUUUUCUACUAGUAUAAAAAGUAGUCUUUUACAAAGACCCGACUGUUUCGUAUGUUUGUUUCUCUGUAAAAGUGAAUGUUUUUCCCAAAUAUCACUAUCAUUACCAAAAUAUAGUUUUACAUUACCGUUUAUGUGAGAAGAUCACAAUUUGAAUGUAAUGGGAAAAUGUAUGUGUACUGUAGUAUUAUAUGUAGUAACUACUGUAGUAAUAACUACCUUAAAACCAAUAGUUUAUUUAAGGUAAAAUGUGAUGAGGUUGUUACCAUGCUAAACUGACUAUAACACGACGAUGAAAGACAUCGGAAGAAAUGACAUUUGGCACCCGUAGACUUGCCAGUCCCACUGUAGCGAACAUCAAAGUGUAGGAUAGUCAAUCAAGUAUAGAUCUAUACACAAACUCACGCUCUCCCUCAAGGAGAUUUUGUUUACAAAACAUGACACAACAAAAUGGUUGUUGUGUCAUGAAGUAGUAUCUCACAUUAAGUUAUCUUGAAUCUUGUUAUAGUAUACUUGUUAUAGUAAUAGUAUUCUCUAUAUAGUAUUCUCUUUAUAGUGUUCUCUGUUAUAGUAUUCUCUGUCUAGUAUUCUUUGUUAUAGUAUUUGUAUAGUGAUAUUAUUCUCCUAAACUAUACCUUUUAUAGUUUACUAGUAAUUCCUGUAGUUUGAAGGAAUGAAUGUAUACCUUUGCUACCUAAAGGUACAUAACUGAUUGAUAGUACUUUUAUAUCUACAUAUAUAUACAUAAUAUAUAACUAAUAUUUAGAUGACAUUUGGACAAAUAACCGAUACCCUAAGUCCACAUCCAAACAAGGAAAAGGAAAUAAAGUGAGUCAUCAGUCCUAAGUCCUUUAAACAUUACGUACAUAACUAUACAUAUGUAGACAUGCUUUUGACAAUAUAUAUAAGUUUAAAAAGAAGUUUUGUAAUACAUUUGAUGAGUUUAACAGUUUGAACAAAAUAUUGAUGACUUGAUGUCAGUUUAUAAAACGAUUUAGAAGUAGUUUAUUUGAUAAGACAGUUUGAAGUAUAAGAAAUCCUUUGUUUGAAACACAGUUUGAAGUAUAUGAAAUCCUUUGUUUGAAACACAGUUUUAAAUCACAUGUGAUUGAUUAUAUAACCAACAUGUUUUCUACUUGUAUUCCCCCCAUAAAAGCAUUUAAAAUCAUUUAAAAGAUAAGUUAAGGGGCAUGAACUCACCUGUAAUGAGUAACUUUAAUGUAAGAUCGAUAAAGGAUGCUAAGUGUCAAGUGAAGGCUUGAGCACACACGGAUCCUAUUUAGCAUAUAAUGACACAUAUAUGUAUACAAUUAGUGUUUAUACAACUAAUCAUGUGAGGGAAACACCUUAGGGACUAAGAAACACUUGAAUUGAAGUGUUACAAUCACAUAUGAUCGCAUAUAAGGGGUGUAUGGCUACACAUUGGUGUUUACGACAAAGUGGUAUGUUUCUAGUAGUUUACGGCCAUAGGGUUUACGGCCCUAUGAGUUUGUGGCCGUAAAAUCAUGACACAUAGUACCAAAAAUGUGUGUUAAGGUCUUAAUUACAUCAUGGUAGUGUUCUAGGUCACAAGCUUAGCUCUUAGAAAAGUUUAUGGCCAAAACGGCACCAUUAUAAGGGUUUACGGCCAAGGGAGAUGCUCUUAGCCUUGAGCUCCUAUUGUUCUUGGGAAAUGAUUGUUUUCAAGGUGCAAAUUAAGUGCUUUAACUAGAUAACAAGUAUAGGGAAAGGAUACUUACGAUAUAGAAGCUUGAAAGGGUGACUAAGAUCCAAAAACUUAGUGUGUGUUCUUGGUGUUCUUGAAGAUCUAACCAAAAAGUGGUAGUUUUCAUUUAUGAUGUAACAACCCGUCAUUUUAGGUCCUUGAAAUUCGAGUCUUGUAUCCUCUUUGAAAAAGUAAUUAGAAUAUCAUCGAAAAAUGAAGUAUUCAAAGGCUCUGUUUGAAGUACGUUAUGUAAUAGAUAUCGUCUUAAGGAUUCCAAGCAUAUAAAGAACACUAAAAUCCGAGUUAUAACGAAGAAGUUAUGACCAUUCUAAGUUUUCCGACAAAAAUCGGCAAUACGAAGUUACGUGAAAACUCGAAUCGGAGAUUGAGCGACUUUUGGCCGGAAUGACCUAAACGAGAAUCGAAGGUCUCGACAAUGGUAUUUCAGCGGUAAAAAGUCUGGCAAAAACCGACGUCAGAUAAAGAAGUUAUGAAUUUUUAAAGAAAUUCCUUAAUCACGUCAUUUUAAUAAAUAAAUAAUAAAAAUAAUUUCAUAAAUUGCCAACAGAAUCUAAACAAAAGUUGUAGAUCUUAGUCUCACCUACGCGUGGAUAUAAAGAACGUCGAAAACGGAGUUCGUAUGAAGGAGAUAUGAAUUUUAGAAGUUUAUUUAAAAUAAAUAUAAAUUUAAAUAUAAACCCUUAGUAAUAUCCGAAGAGGAGUCAGCGGAUAGGACCAAGGUACGCCCCGCGUACUCAAAUCAAGGGCUCCGGAUUGUCCACGUCGCUCCAAUGUUUCUUCCGAGGAUGCGGUAAGCCAUGACGUCUCGUAUGCCCUGCGUACGAGCGUACGCCCCGCGUACGCGAGGCUUCCAGACCCUAUAAAAGGGGUGCGAGGGUUUCCGAAAAACUUGCUCAUUUUUUCUCCUUUCUCUUGUGUUUUGCCUCGUUUUCCGUGCCCGUUCAAACCCGAAGCCCUGGUCAUUUUGCUCAAGUCCCGAAGGUCGAUUUUACUCCCGAGAUUCCCGAGAAUCCCGAGAAAAAUCCGUUUCCCGAGAUGAAACUCUGCCCGGUUUUCCAUCUCGCUAUCUUCAAACUUCCAAGUGAGUUCAUACCCCUACAAACACACUUUAAAUACAUUUUAAAUGCUUUUUAUACUCUUUAAGGGGGGAUACAAGUAAACAUACGGUUAUUAUCGUGUAUUUCAUAAAAUUUCACUUUACUCGUUUUUAUCAAAUGAAUCACUUGUGAUUUAGUUCUACUAUGUGAAAACUCUUGUCAUACUUUGCAUGCAAUAGAUUUAUACAAAGUAUUUAGUAAUUCCCAAGUAUCCUUCGUUGCUAAACCAUUUUAUACAUUCUAAAAACUUAUGAUUUAUGUUUUGUCAAACAUUGUGAAAAAGGAUAAACUUUGCAUACAAAACUAUCACUUUAAUACAGACUUAGUUGAGAAUCCAUGAGACGUGUACAUCUUCAAACACUGCCUUUUAUCAAAAAGGUAUCGCUAUAAGUCCUGUUUAUAACCAGAGUCUCCCGUUCGGAGAACGUGUCAAAUGUGUAUAGAUCUAUACGGGAAGUCAUGAUCCCGCGCCCUGACUGUUAGCUACAGUCCGUCUUUUGGGGUGACAGUUUGUCAUAACGCUACGACGCCUGAAGAACGUCGCUACAGGCAUAUUAUGUUUAGUAUGGUUAUAAAACUCAUCGGAUAUACAAUUAUUAUGGUAUUAUGCUUUUAUGAAAGAGUAGCUAUUAAAACUAUUCUUCAUCUAACAACUACGAUCUUCGUAUAGCUUUAUUAUAUAAAACUAUGCCACUCCUUUCAAGCACGUCGGUUGCUUGCGAUUUUCGGUCUUAGAGACUGCCAGUUAUGUUAUGAAAAUAAGGGUUUUUCCUGUAUACAAACCAAACAACUAAUAGGAAAAUAAGGGAUUUUCUCGGUACAAUUAGUUGCAACUUAUAUCACGAACAUUCAUAUGCAUUUCAUACUUUUAUAAGAAAAUAAGGGAUUUUCUUGGAAAAUAUACACUCAUUUUGGAAUGGCAUUCAAUGCUUCUAAAUCACUUAUGAACUCACCAACUUAAUUGUUGACACUUUUUCUUUGAAAUAACUUGUAUUCUCAGGGAAUCGUUAAGUAGGUUUGGAAAUCAACUUUUGGGGAAUAACGCGCUGGCAUUAUUUACUUCUUUUGAAAGAUGUUUAUGCAUUUAUCUUUUGAGCAUGUAAUGAAUACAAUGAUGUAAACAUUUUUAAAACCUUUAUAUAUGUAUGGUGGUGUGUACUUUCCUUUCUAUGAACUGUUAUGAUACUGAAUAUGACGUCCUCCGCCCCCGAACGUUUCCGCCGUUCUGGUUUGGGGGUGUGACAUAUGAAAACAUGGAUCUUCACUAGUUAUAGCAAUGAAUCAACUAACAAUGGAAGGAAUGCUUACAUUUUUGAAGAUCAAAGUGAAGAACUCGAUGAUACUUGAGAGAGAAUUCGGGUUUCUAGACUUGAAAUGGUAAGAAAUGAGGAAAAGUGAUGGAAAAUCAUGUAUAUAACAUGAGUUUAUGGCCAACAUGAGUUUACGGUCGUAAACUCAUGGUGGUGUGGCCGUAAAAUCCACAUGAUGGGGUUUAAAGCUCUAUUAGUGCACAAUGGACUCAAGCAGAUACUUCCUAACACCCGAUCCUUGAAUGUACUAUGCUUAGAACACUCAAACAGACCCUAAAGAGUGCUAAAUGAUAGCAGAAACAAGUCUGACUUGGAUUGAAUUGAUUGAUUGUACAAGAUAGAAAUUUCAGGUUGUCGCAUCAUCCCCCCGUUAGAGAGAAUUUCGUCCCGAAAUUAGAGUUGAAGCAAUUAAGUAGUUAGAAAUAACUAAUUAAAAAGAUGAAGAUAUUUUAGUUUCAUCUGAUCCUCGCGCUCCCAAGUGAAUUCAGGUCCUCGCUUGGCAUUCCAGCGAACCUUCACUAUCGGGAUACGGCUUUGGUUCGUUUGCUUGACCUCACAGUCCAUGAUCUCUACUGGUUCUUCCAUGAAGUUUAGGCUCUCGUUGAUCUCGAUCUCGUCGAGUGGGACUACAUGAGUCUUGUCGGACGGAAAUUUUUUUCAAGUUCGAGACAUGGAAAGUAGAAUGUACGUUAUUGAGUUCACGAAGUAGAUUGAGUUUGUAAGCUAUAGGGCCGAUUCUAGCGAGAAUAUCGAAUGGCCCUACGUUUCUUGGAUUUAGCUUCCCACGCUUUCCGAAGCGUAUCAAGCCCUUCCAAGGUGAGACUUUCAAUAGAAUGCGGUCUCCCACCUGGAAUUCCGAAGGUUUCCUUCUUUUGUCAGCGUAGCUUUUCUGUCGGUCUCUAAAGGCUUUCAAUCGUUCACAAAUCUGAAAGAACUUCUCUAUUGUUUCCCCGAUGAUCUCCAGACCUGUGAGAGUGCUAUCAGGAACUCGUCCUUUAGCUAACUGGGUGUCACCCACCUCAGCCCAGCAAAGAGGAGAUCUACACUUACGGCCAUAGAUGGCUUCGAAUGGAGCAGCCUUUAUGCUCGUGCGACAACUGUUGUUGUAGGAAAAUUUGACAAGGGGUAAAUGAGUAUCCCAUGCCUUUCCAAAGUCAAUCACACAGGCUCUCAACAUAUCUUCCAAAGUUUGUAUAGUCCUCUCACUUUGCCCGUCGGUUUGCGGAUGGUAGGCUGUACUCACGUCCAGCCUAGUUCCUAGGGAACUUUGUAGCGACUGCCAGAACCUUGAAGUGAAUCUACUAUCUCUAUCAGAGAUAAUGGAUAUGGGAACCCCACGCAGUUGUAAGAUUUCCCUAAUGUAAGUUCUAGUCAGUUUCUCCAUCUUGUCCGUCUCCUUGAUUGGUAGAAAAUGCGCAGAUUUGGUCAAUUUUUCGAUGAUUACCCAAAUGGUAUCAAGUCCACCCGUUGUCUUGGGCAACUCAGUUAUGAAGUCUAUACUAAUCCGCUCCCAUUUCCACUCCAGUGUCUUCGGUUUCUGUAGUAAAUCUGAGGGUUUCAGGUACUCGACCUUAACCUUUGCGCAAGUAAGACAUUUACUCACGAAGGUAGCAAUAUCUGCUUUCAUGUUAGGCCACCACUAUAGUUUCUUAAGAUCCAAAUACAUCUUAUUUGAACCUGGGUGUACGGAAUAUCUAGUGUUGUGCACUUCAAUCAUGACCAAGUCUCUAAAAUCACCGUGUUUCGGUGUCCAGAUACGAUCCAUGAGAUACAAGGCUCUGCCACCCUUGAUUUCCAAGUUUUUAUCCAUCCCUCUCAGGGAUUCACCCGCCACAUUUUCAGGUUUCAAGGCUUCUAGUUGAGCCUCCUUAAUUAGUGUGGACAAGUGUGAAUGGAUAGUCAUAGUCAAAGAUUUGACUCUCUGACCAGAGUAGUCUUUCCGACUUAGGGCGUCAGCUACCACAUUGGCUUUACCGGGAUGAUAAUGAAUUUCGCAUUCGUAGUCGUUGAGUAGCUCGACCCACCGUCGUUGUCGCAUAUUGAGCUCCUUCUGAUCGAAUAUGUGUUGAAGGCUCUUGUGCUCUGUGAAGAUAGUGCUCUGUACCAUACCGGUAGUGUCUCUAGAUCUUUAGAGCAAAUACCACUGCUCCUAACUCAAUAUCGUGUGUUGUAUAGUUGACUUCGUGUGUCUUUAGUUGACGGGAGACAUAGGCAAUGACCUUUCCUCUUUGCAUAAGAACACAACCAAGCUCUUGGUUGGAUGCAUCGCAAUACACAACGAAAUCUUCUAUCCCUUCUGGGAGGGAUAAUAUCGGUGUGGUGCACAACGCUUGUUUCAGUGUUUGGAAUGCCUUCUCUUGUUUCUCUUCCCAGUCAAAGGCCACUCCUUUUUGGUUCAAUGUAGUAAGCGGUUUCGCGAUGCUAGAAAAGUUUUGUAUUAACCUGCUAUAAUAGCCAGCGAGACCUAGAAAUUAACGAAUUCAUGUUGGUGUUUUCAGUGCUGACUAGUUCUCAAUGGCCUUGAUUUUUGAUGGGUCCACGUGAAUUCCCUUUUCGCUAACAACGUGGCCCAAGAAUUCGACUCUUCGAAUCCAAAACUCGCACUUAGAGAACUUCACAUAGAGCUUCUCCAAUCGUAAUGCUUCUAAGACUCUGCGUAGGUGUUGACUAUGCUCCUCCUUACUUCGGGAGUAGAUAAGUAUGUCAACGAUGAAGACAAUGACGAACUGAUCCAAGUAAGGACGACACACCCUAUUCAUUAGAUCCAUGAAUACAGUCGGUGCAUUGGUCAAUCUGAACAGUAUCACUACAAACUCGUAGUGUCCAUAACGAGUUCGGAAGGCUGUCUUGGGGACAUCCUCCUCUAGCACUCGUAACUGGUGAUACACGGAUCCUAGAUCUGUCUUCGAGAAGUAGUUCGCUCCCUGAAGUUGAUCAAAUAAGUCGUCAAUUCGAGGUAGAGGGUAACGAUUCCUGAGAGUAAGUUUGUUCAGCUCUUUGUAGUCGAUGCACAUACGAAACAAUCUGUCUUUCUUCUUUACGAACAAGGCCUGUGCUCCCCAUGGUGAGAAGCUUGGUCUAAUGAAUCCCUUUCUGAGAAGUUCGUUAAGCUGACUGGAAAGUUCCUGCAUCUCUGUUGGUUCUAGAUGAUAAGGCGAUUUGGCUAUUGGGGUAGCCUCUGGGACUAAGUCGAUUCGGAACUCGACUUGACGAUGUGGUGGUAAUCUCGGUAGUUCUUCUGGAAAGAUGUCGGGAAAGUCGUGUACUUUUGGAAUGUUCUGAAUGUCUUUCACUUCUUGGCUCGUAUCGACGAUGUGUGCAAGGAAUGCAUGAUAUUCCUUUCGUAAGCACUUCUGAGCUUGAAUACACGAGAUGAUGCGAAGGUUUGUACUUGAUUUUUUGCCAUAGAUAACUAGAGUUUCGUUGUUAGGGAGGUUAAGGCAAACUGCUUUCUCAAAGCACAUGAUGUCAGUGCAAAGAAGACUCAAUGAAUCCAUGUCGAUUAUAACGUCGAAACUUUUAAUUAAGAUCGGCAUGAGUUCGAUUUGGAAAGAAUGGCCAUCUAGAGUUAAAGUACAACCUAUGUAUAUGCAGUUAGUGCUUUUCGUUUUCCCGUUUUCCAUUUCUACAGUGAAUGAUUCCUCUAGUGCACGUGGUUUUUGUUUGAGUAAGUAAGAAAAUUUCUUGUUCGCGAAACUCCUCUCCGUUCCACUAUCAAAUAGUACGCAAAAAUAUGAAUUAAUGAGGAGAAACUUACCAGUAACUACCAUAGGAUCAGCUACGGCUUCCUCGUGGCCUAUCACCAGAAUUCUUCCCACUCUGCCAGCAUUUCCUGCCUUCGGGUAGUCUCUUUUAAAAUGACCAACCUCGCCACAACUGUAGCAAGCCUAGCCCACAACAAUGUCAGGGACUUGGUUAAUUGGCCUCGCCGGAGCCUUGCAGAAACGGGUAGUGUGCCCCCCUCCUGUUGCAGUUAGCACACUGCAUUUCCCGACAGGCACUAUUAUGAUGGAAAGUGCAUUUGUUGCACUUGGGCAAAUUCCCAGUAUACUGCUUCCUCGAUGCAGUAGCAGUAGGUGCAAUCGCGUCAUGAACAACCACAACUUGUUGCUUCUUGGCAGAGUUCUACCCCAAUUUGCCCUUCUUGUUAUCCUAGAACGUUCGCUUGUUGUCAGCGGCUUUGGAGGACUCUGAGAUAGCUAGGGCUGUUUUCGUUGUCGGGGUGGGGACUCCGUGAUCAAUGAGUCGUUGUGCCAUUCGCUUGGCAAUGUCGAAAGUUGUGGGGUUUGAAGCUAAGACAUUCCCCUGAAAUGGAGGCACCAACCCAAAAAUAUACCUCUCGAUCUUCUUUCCCUCAGUGGGAACCAUAUUGGGACAUAGUGCCACCAGAUUGUUGAAUCUGGUAGUUUAAGCCACUAUGUUGGAGCCCUUCAUGGUCAGGCUCUAGAGUUCUUAUUCUAGUUUCUGAACCUCGCCCCUCGGGCAAUAUUCUUGUAUCAUAACCCUUUAAGAGCUUCCCAUCUCAUAACAUUCGCCACUAUUAAAGUAAGUGACUUGACAUGGUUAUUCCACCAUGUCAGGUCUCUAUCACCAAAGUUGCAUACAACAAAUUUUACUUUGCUUCCUUCAGUACAGGAACAAAUCUCAAAGAUCUAUUCCGUCUUCUCGAACCAUUGCGACAGAGCAAUGAUUCCACCGAUUCCAUUGAAGACUCUAGGUUUACAGUUGGUGAAGUCUUUAUAACGGCAAUCUCGCGAGCACACAACAACAUAGCCUUGUGUGGAAUGAACGAUUGUUCCACCUCCACUAGUACCUUGUUUGUUGGUGUAUUGAGCCAUGGCCAUCGCAACAGCCGCAGCCACCGCAACAUUAAGAGCUGCCGUAUCGAAUUGUGGAGGAGGUGGUGUUUGAGUUGGAAUAAUCGGAGGAUUAUGCCUUGUUGAUUUGCGAGGAGGCAUCUUUCAAAUAUAAGUUUAAAAUAUGAGUACAAUGAUAAGAAUCCAAUAGUGAAGUUAAUGAAUGAGUCUCAUGAACUAAAUAGCCAUAGUUCAACAACUAGAUAAGAGUGUGAGUUCUAUAGAGUUCUAGAAUCAGAAAAAUGAAAGUAUUUGAACAAAGAUUUCCACAAGAGAUUAGUUGACUACCAAUAUCAUUGAUGUUAACGAUGUAAUAAGUUUGGGAAAAUUUACCUAAGAGUAGGUCUUACAUCAUAUCAGAAGUAGGAAAAUUGUGGCAGUUCAAAGACCUAAUCGACUGAAAGUUCGAGGUCUUAACACAAAUGGAAAAUUUAAUACUAGCAUCUAUACAUAGACCUAAGUUAUACCCAAAAGAUAGAGUAGAACACAGUCUACUUCCUGCUAGAUCCUGAUUUGGAUUUAGACAGACGGUGUUCUAGUUCGUAAAAACGCCUAUCCUGUACCAACAGACGAUCUCGCAACACUUGAACUUCGGGUUGGGAUGCCGCUAGUUCGCCAGUCAAGAAGUUAGUAUGAUCUCUUAUCGCGCCAUGUUGGUCUUCCAAAUUACGAAGACGAACAGUGUCGACUCCAGCGAUAGCUUCGCUCUGCAUCAGACGAUUGCUAGUAACCCUUCCAUGUUCGGUAUUACGAGCAAUAUGACGAACCAGCAUGGGAAGUGCUCUAUCUGCUGACCCUCCAGAUUCUAAAUUGUAGAAGCUUCGGUCUCCUUGGUAAGGGUGAUUCUGACCUUGUUCAUUGCUCCACCUGUCUAUGCUUAUGGCCCAUAGAGGUGUCGGACCUAGAAAAGCCGGAUGAGGGUUAGGAUUUGGGAUUUGGGCCGCAGGUGGUAGAUUCUCGACUUCGGGUUCGGAUUCAAGAUCCUCGGGGAAAUCUUUUGUGAAUUCAUCAUCUAAAGCAAUCGCAUGCUCUUCUUCUAUUUCGGCGUCAAGCCAACCAUCGUUUCCUUGCUUUGGGAAGUACGGAUCACCAAGGAGAUUAAAUCCAGCCAUUUAUCUAGACGAGAAAUAAAGGUAAAGAAUUUAUUUAACAAUUCUAAAAUAAAGAGAUAAACAAAUAAAAGUUUCUGUAAGAGAAACUUACUUAUAAUCCUAAUAUGACUCUUACUGGUUCCUUCUAUGAGAACAUAAUGCAUACCAAUUAUAUACUACUUGGGUUGAAUAGUCCUUCGAAUAAGUGAUCCUGCUCUAAGUCCACAUCCAAACAAGGAAAAGGAAAUAAAGCUUAGACCACAUAUUCUUAGUCUAUGAAACCUAAUUGUAUAUAAUCAUAAUGUAUGCACUUAGUACUCAUAGAACUAUCAGCAAAAGCCUUUUGUUCUUAUGAAGUUUGUUCUUUGAAUGAAUAGUGCCUAAAAUACUCCUAUAGUAUUUUACCUUAUGUUUUGUUCUCAUGUUCUUCUAUAUAUGAAGAUGUAUAUGUAUUGUUUGGUAAGUUUUAGAAAUGUCGCAACACCACCAUCACUCCCAAACACACGUUCACCAUAUCUCAAACGAAUAUAGUUGAUCAAGCUAUAUUGAUCUGAGAUAUGAUUACAUAACUGCCCAUGUUUGACUGUAGUAUCGAACAUCUAAUUACAUUUGUUAUGUUCUAGUAUGACACUGUUCGGUAGUAAGUAUGUAGGUAUGUAAUUAUGUAUACUUUUAGUUAAGUAUUUUAGUACUUAAAAAGUUUAAAUUCUUGGUCAGAGUAUUUUAAUCCCAAUGUGUUUAUAGUUUGUAUAUCUUUUAUGGGUUGAUAUACUCGAUUCACUAUAAACAAUGCUUUGAUACCAAUCUAUCACACCCUAAAACUGGAACGGUGGAAAUGUUCGGGGGCGGAGGACGUCAUGUACAGUAUCAUAACAAUGCAAAGUAGUAAACAAGAAACAACAUCAUCCACUACAUUAAUCGUAUAAUUUCAUACAAGUGUGUUCUUUAUAUAGAAUAAGACACCAAAAAUGCAUAAUCAAAAUAAAAACGAGUCUUGAACAUGCUCCGUCUUCUCAAAACCUGGUCAUCGCUAUCUGUCUACUGGUGACUUGAGAAUACAAGUUAUUAUGAAAGCAUAGAUCAGCAUUUAAGCUGGUGAGUUCAUAAGUAUUUAGUGUCAAUGUUUGUAUAAGUUUGCUGAAAGUGUUUGUAAAUGUUUGUAUGUGUUUGAAAGCUCCUACAAAAUCCUAUAUUUUCUACUAGUAUAAAAAGUAGUCUUCUACCAAGACCCGGCUGUUUUGUAUGUUUUUCUCUAUAAAAGUGAAUGUUUUUCCCAAGUAUGACUAUCAUUACCAAAAUAUAGUUUUACAUUACCGUUUAUGUGAGAAGAUCACAAUUUAAAUGUAAUAGGAAAAUGUAUGUGUACUGCAGUAUUAUAUGUAGUAACUACUAUAGUAAUAACUACCUUAAAACCAAUGGUUUAUUUAAGGUAAAAUGUGAUUAGGUUGUUACCAUACUAAACCGACUAUAACACGAUGAUGAAAGACUUCGGAAGAAAUGACAUUUGGCACCCGUAGACUUGCAAGUCCCACUGUAGCGAACAACAAGGUGUAGGAUAGUCAAUCCAGUAUAGAUAUAUACACAAACUCAUGCUUUCCCUCUAGGAGAUUCUGGUUACAAAAAUGAGACAACCAAAUGGUUGUUGUGUCAUGAACUAGUAUCUCACAUUAAGUUAUCUUGAAUCUUGUUAUAGUAUACUUCUUAUGGUAAUAGUAUUCUCUGUAUAGUAUUCUCUGUUAUAAUAUUAUUUGUAUAGUAUUCUCUGUUAUAGUAUUCUUUGUUCUAGUAUUCUCUGUCUAGUAUUCUUUGUUAUAGUAUUUGUAUAGUGAUAGUAUUCUCCUAAACUAUACCUAUUAUAGUUUACUAGUAAUUUCUGUAGUUUGAAUGAAUAAAUGCAUACCUUUGCUACCUAAAGGUACUGAACCGAUUGAUAGUACUUUUAUAUCUACAUAAAUAGACAUAAUAUAUAACUAAUAUUAAAUGACAUUCAGACAAAUAACCGAUACCCUAAGUCCACAUCCAAAUAAGGAAAAGGAAAUAAAGCGAGGCAUUGGUCCUAAGUACUUUAAACAUUAUUUACAUAACUAUACAUAUAUAGACAUGCUUUUGACAAUAUAUAUAAGUUUAAAAAGAAGUUUUGUAAUACAUUUGAAGAGUUUAACAGUUUAAAUAAAUAUUGAUGAUUGAUGUCAGUUUAUAAAACGAUUUAAAAGCAUUUUUUUGAUAAGACAGUUUGAAGUAUAUGAAAUCCUUUGUUUGAAACACAGUUUGAAGUAUAUGAAAUCCUUUGUUUGAAACACAGUUAUAAAUAACAUGUUAUUGAUUAUAUAACCAACAUGUUUCCUACUUGUAUUCCCCCAUAAAAUCAUUUAAAACCAUUUGAAACAUAAGUUAAGGGGUAUAAACUCACCUGUAGUGAGUAACUCGAAUGUAAGAUCGAUAAAGGAUGCUAAGUGUCAAGUGAAGGCUUGAGCACACAUGGAUCCUAUUUAGCAUAUAAUGACACAUAUAUGUAUACAGUUAGUGUUUAUACAACUAAUCAUGUGAGGGAAACACCUUAGGGACUUGGAAACACUUGAAUUGAAGUGUUACAACCACAUAUGAUCGCAUAUAUGGGGUGUAUGGCCACACAUUGGUGUUUACAACCAAAGUAGUACAUUUCUAGGAGUUUACGGCCAUAGGGUUUAUGGCCCAAUGAGUUUGCGGCCGUAAACUCAUGACAAAUUGUACCAAAAACGUGUGUUAAGGUCUUAAUUGCAUCAUGGUAGUGUUCUAUGUCACAAGCUCAGCUCUUAGAAGAGUUUAUGGCCAAAAUGGCACCAUUAUAAGGGUUUACGGCCAAGGGAGAUGCUCUUGGCCGUGAACUCCUAUUGUUCUUGGGAAAUCAUUGUUUUCAAGGUGCAAAUUAAGUGCUUUAACUAGAUAGCAAGUAUAGGGAAAGGAUACUUACGAUAUAGAAGCUUGAAAGGGUGACUAAGAUCCAAAAACUUAGUGUGUGUUCUUGGUGUUCUUGAAGAUCUAACCAAAAAGAGGUAGUUUUCAUUUAUGAAAACAUGGAUCUUCACUAGUUAUAGCAAUGAAUCAACUAACAAUGGAAGGAAUGCUUACAUUUUUGAAGAUCAAAGUGAAGAACUCGAUGAUACUUGAGAGAGAUUUCGGGUUUCUAGACUUGAAAUGGUGAGAAAUGAGGAAAAGUGAUGGAAAAUCAUGUAUAUAACAUGAGUUUAUGUUCAACAUGAGUUUACGGUCGUAAACUCAUGAUGGUGUGGCCGUAAAAUCCACAUGAUGGGGUUUAAAGCUCUAUUAGUGCACAAUGGACUCAAGCAGAUACUUCCUAACACCUGAUCCUUGAAUGUACUAUGCUUAGAACACUCAAAUAGACCCUAAAGAGUGCUAAAUGAUAGCAAAAACAAAUCUGGCUUGGAUUGAAUUGAUUGAUUGUACAAGAUAGAAAUUCCGGGUUGUCACACCAUCCCCCCGUUAGAGAGAAUUUCGUCCCGAAAUUAGAGUUUAAUCAAUUAAGUAGUUAAAAAUAACUAAGUAAAAAGAUGAGGAUAUUUCAGUUUCAUCUGAUCCUCGCGCUCCCAAGUGAAUUCAGGUCUUCGCUUGGCAUUCCAGCGAACCUUCACUAUCGGGAUACGACUUUGCUUCGUUUCAGUAAAACUUUACAAAUUUUCCCUUCUAAUCUUAAACACAUAGAUUACAAAAUUUAGAAUGUUUUCUCUUAAUAACAAGUUAACAUAAACUUUUCAUUUCUCUUCAUAUUUUUUAUUGAUUGGGUUGUAAUACUGAUUUCAGGCUGCCAGGUACUUGACAAAUUGGAAAAUAACUUUUGCACUAUUAAGGGUGCAAGGUUAGUCAGCCAAGAUAAUGAAGCCUUAUCAGUUAUCUUAUUGUCUCUGAAACAUCAGUUGUGAAGGUGAAUUUUAUAAUUUUAAAACUCCUGGCAUAUAUUUUCUUAAGUGUAAAAAUGAUGUUUAUGAUCUUAUAUUUUGUCUUUUGGAUUGUUUCAGGGAUCAAAAUGUUGUUACUUCAAACCAGUCCUUGAGAACUCUUUCAAACAUAAUUGUUGCGGCUAGUAUAUAUUCUACAAGGGUGCUUGAUGAAAUAUUUUGGGAACUUAUAGGCUUCACUGCUAGCCUUCUUCAUAUAAAAAAAUCAGAUUAUAAUGACUUGUUGAUAAAGGUUCUUUAGUUUUUAUUGUUUAUUAUCAUUUGCAAAAAAGAAGUAGGGAAUGCAAUUAUUUUGGAAGAUUUUUCAAACUUAAUUUCAUCUCAUAAACCUAAAAAAGACAUUUUCAUUAAAAAAAAAAGAUAGGUGGUGGAGAAAGGAAAAAAAAAGGUAGGCGAUGUUUUUUUUUGGUUUUGGUUAAAAUUAGGCGUGAAGACCUUUGAAGACAGUGGCCCAUGUCUACGCCAGGAAGACCUCGCACAAACGUUUUUUGAUCUACGCACUUCCAGAAAAUAAGCACUCUGCGAGGGCAUAUGUGUGCGUUGUCUGCGCAGUGCAAAAAAAAGUGGUUGCCCAGAUAUGCACAAAAAAACAAACAACCCCUUACUGAAGUGUUUAAAGUGGGAUUUCCAUAUAGUAUACUUUGUAUACCAAACGGGCCCUACCUCCGAUAUGAUCCUACCUAGUUGUUCCUUACUUGAUAGAUCUUGAAGUAGACUUUGAGUUAAUGAUGAAUCUAGACUAAUAAUUAGUCGCAAUAAAUAUUAGACUAAAACUUAGUGAUAAUAAUACUAGGUUUCGUCAACGGAAAAGACAAUUGUUAGAAGCAAAGCGCUGCCCGAAUUUUGAGUUGUCACUUUAACAAGUGAGUGCAUAGUCCCUUUCAUGAACAUGAUUUUAGUACAAGUAUUAAUUAAAGUAUUAAAUAUCUAUUAAAGAGUUAAAUAGAUGUUAAAGAGUUUAUGUGUGAGUGCAUAGUCCCUCUCAUGAACUUGAUUUUAAUACAAGUAUUAAUUAAGUAUACGAUAUAUGUUUAUGUGUGAAAUAUUUGAUAUUGCCUAAAAUACGUGUUAAGAGCAUAUCUGAUAAUAUAUGAUGAUUUAUGACAAAAUAAAGCUAAGUUCAUUAAGAUGAAUAUCAGUUAGUAUCUUUUUAUGAGUAUGGGUGAUUUAUACACGAAGGGUAGAACUUUAAAAUUUGUCACUGAUCUGAGAGCAUGGAUAAGACAGUCAUUCGUCCUUAGUCUAAGAGUAUGGUGACGGCAUAGUCAUUUGUCAUUAAUCCGAGAGCAUGGAUUAGACAUAGUUAGUCAUCCUUAGUCCAAGAGUAUGAAGAGGGCAUAAUCAUUUUCCAUUAAUCUGAGAGCAUGGAUUAGACAUAUUCAUUCGUCCCUAGUCCGAGAGUAUGGAGUGGGCAUCGUCAUUUGGCAUGGAUCUGAGAGCAUUAAUUAGACAUACCUGAUCCGAGAGUAUGGAUUAGGUAUAGUUGUCAAUUUUAGAUCUGAGAGUAUCGAUCAUAUUGUUGUAAGGAUCGACAGGGUGGGGUAAAAUUGCUUAUAUGAGGUGAAAUUAUAUAUUACGAAUUCUAAUAUAUAUAUAUAUAUAUAUGAUAUAACAUUGUGGGAUUGAAAUCCUUAUAUACUCACUAGGUUUCCCAACCUGACCCACACAGUUUGAUGUAUCACUGGUAGUUAUAUGGAAGAUACAUUACACUAAGAGAUUAAAGGAGAUGUAAUUCAUUAGUGUAAAUGAAUAUAAUGUCUGGUUAUGCUUAUGGUUUUGUAUUUACAAUGACAUCCCAAUGUUUUAAUAUAAAUAAAAUACAUUUCUUCGGAAAUGCUUUGAUAAUGUAUUUAUCAUAUUUUGGGGGACAAAUUUUGUACUAAUAUUCUUCAAAAAUGAUACUCUGAUUUUUAAAUAAGCAUAAAAAAAAUUAGACUUUUUUGGCCGUGAAAAUGGGGAUGUCACAGUAUACAUAAACAUCCAUUGUGUUAUUUUGUUGUGUAUUAUUCUCUAAGUUUAAUAUAUUAUUAUUUUUUGUUAUAUGGUUUUCAGCGUUGUAGUUAGUUUGCAUCUUCUGUAACAUCCCCAAAAUCAUGACCAAAAAUGUCAUUUUUAAUUAUUAAAUAAAACCAUGGUUAUCAAAACAUAAGUCAUAGUAUCUCAAAACAUUAUUAUCAGAGUUUCCAAAUCAAAACAUUAGAGUAAACAUCCCAUGUUAAUCAUUAAGGUAUGUGUAAUGCAGUCAUCCCGAGCUCUUCUCUUUGCAACUAGAAGUACCUGAAACCAAAACUGAAAAUCGUAAGCACGGAGCUUAGUGAGUUCCCCAUACUACCACAUAACAUACACAUAAUCACAUAUAUUGGGCCCCCUCCCCUUCAUCAAGCCCCGCCAAGCAUCGGACACUAUCCGGCAUUAGGCCCCGCCUGGCAUCGAACCCCGCUCGAUAUACAUAUAUGUUUCUCCCAGGCCCCGCCCGCUAUACACAUACAAACUAUAUUAUAUAAUCAUGUUAGCACAUAAAGAAUCAAACACAAUACUACAUGUUCCGGUCCUAAGGCCUCGCCUAUCAUGGGCCCUAUCCCUACUCUCCUAAUGAUGACAUAUGGUACCCCAUCCAUACUCAGAUAGUGAUGAGAUAUGGGACCCCGCCCACCUCCCUACCAAACACAUACAAGUAUCACAUAGACAACAAGUAUAUCUAAACAUGCAUACAUUCCUCGGGUACCACUCGGCAUUGAACCGUAGUUUGGAAAUCGACAUAUAAGCAUUCCUUAGGCCCCGCCCGACAUCGAACCGUAAUCUGGAAGCAUACAAACAUUCCUCGGGCACCAUCCGACAUCGGACCUUUGUCCAGAAUACAUACAGUCAGACAUACGGGUCGGUGCCUUCGAACCAUUCAAACAGGAGGAAAUUCACCUCAAAUGCCAGAUGAUAGUUGAAACGUCUCUGACUGAAGUCAGCUCUACUCACUCCCUGAACCAAAGCAACCCCUUAGAUACCAUUUCAUGCUCAUAACCCUUUAAGGUCAACUGUGGUCAAAUUCAAAGUCAACGCUCCGAUUUGACUCAACUCGUCGAGUUUACUCCUUAACUCGCCAAGUUCCCAUAAAUCAGAGAAUCGUGAAAUCGUGAUCCAACUCGUCGAGUUUUCCUCCAACUUGCCGAGUUCCUUCUUUUUCACCAGAAUCGGGGACAUUCCAAACCAACUCGCCGUGUUACCUUAUGGACUCGUCGAGUUCAUCAGUCUGUCAACACUUCCUAAUUCAUUAAGAAAUUAUUCUUCAAAUCCAAGUCCCAUAUUCUAGAUCUAGACUGAAAAUGCCUCUAGAAGGGUAAAGUUUCCAACUUUAGCCAUUAAUACCCCUCCUAAAGGGAUUAAGCUCAACCCUGAGCCCCCAAAAGGCUUAAAUCUAAAUCCAAAGGCCAUCACCUUCAAGAUAGGACAUAUGAACAUAGAUAUGGACCUUAAAGACUAGAUAAUAACUUAAAGUCUCCAGCUUUCUCUACAUGCAUGGCCAUUAUAAGCUUAAAAGGCCAAAAUGGUAGUCUAAAGGUUGCAUGGGACUUUCAUGGCCAUAAAGUUGGCACCUUUAUGCCAUGAAAGUCCUUCAAGACUCUAUAUAUGAAGUGUUUUCCAUUCGGGACAUCCAACUCUCAAGAACCAUACCAUUUGGACCAAAAACAAGCAAAAAGUACUAAUAAGGAGAUCUAAUCAACUAUUAGGCAAGUUUGAAACUUGAUUACUAGAAAGUGACAAAAAUGUAGUAAGGUUUCUGGAUCUAGCAACUCUUCCUUGUUCCUUCAAACUUUCCUUCCUUCCAAGAGCUUCAAACACCCAUAAGAACACUCAAAAUGGCUCACAAUCACUCAAAAAUAGCUUAGGGUUUCGAGAUUUAUGGUUAAGACAGUGGAGCAUGGAAAUGAGGCCAAAACCCUAUAGCUUAAGUUGUUUAAAUAGGGUGCAAAUCCCAAAACUUAGGGUUUCCCAAACCACGUCCAACUCGUUUAGUUGUGCCUCUCUAACUCAUCGAGUUGAUUCUCAAAAACACGCGCCCAAGAUUUCCAACACGUCGAGUUCUCCCCCUUGGACUCGACGAGUUGGCCUUAUAGAUGUUGAUUUCUUUUUCCUUAUUUGGCCUUCUAGAUUUCGGAUGUUACAUCUUCCCUCAUUUACAUGAUCGUCUUAUAAUGUAUGGAUGUCUUAUAUGUAUCUACUAUUAAUAAGUGGUUAUAACAUAACAAAAACACAAAGUAAUAAUGAUGAUUUUAUAAUUAAAAUUUAUUGACAAAUUUAAUUUGAAUUCUUUUACAUUGGAAUUGAACAACUCAUAAUGUUGUCAAAAUUUUCUAAUCAUAUACAUUUGUAUAAAAUAUCUAUCAAAAUUUAAUUAUAUUAGUUACAUAUCCAAUGAUCGAACCAAAUAAAAAAUAUUUUAUAGGAUUUUGCAAAUUAAGAGAAUAUAUCUUCAACUAAUUGUAACAAAUAAAUUUGAAUAAUCAUAUUUUUCUUUUGUCUCCAACUAUAUAAACAUAAAUAUAUUCUUGAAAUCUAAAGAAAAUAGAAUGAAAGGUAUAUGAAUAUAAAUUGAAACCCACAAAUCAAGUAAAUAUAUUUUAGACUUUCAAAAGCUUGAUUAUCAUAUCCACAUUUAGUUUUUCAAAAUAUAUUUUAUCAUUCAAAAAAUUUCUUUCAUUUAAUCAGUUAAUUAGCAUAAGAUGAAAAUGUGAGAAUUUCAAAUAAAUAUAGUUCUCUCUCUCUCUCUCUCUCUCUCUCUCUCUAUAUAUAUAUAUAUAUANNNNNNNNNNNNNNNNNNNNNNNNNNNNNNNNNNNNNNNNNNNNNNNNNNNNNNNNUAUAUAUAUAUAUAUACAGAGAGAGAGAGAGCUAGGUUCCGUUGAGAUUAAAAAUAAAAUAGAGAUUUUGAGAUUCAACCUCAGCAAUAUAUUUAAAAUCUGAUGCUCUAACCCUCCGGCGUACCAGCACGACAGACCUGUUAUAAUCAUAAAUGAUUAUAUAGCGUCGUCCAUUCCUUUCUCCUCCGCCACCAUACCCUCCAUCACAACCGCCACCGCCACCACCACUACGACCACCCCUGACACCAGUUAACCUCACCACUCUCACCUCCAUCACUUAUACCACCAUAACCUCUGUCACCACCACCUUUUCUGCCACCAACUGUUAUAAUCAUUUAUGAUUACUCGAUGUGUGAAAAGACAUAUAUGUAUAAUAUGCAUAAUCAUAUAUGGUUAUACCUCUCUGCCAUAUAAUCAUUUAUGAUUAGGCAUACCAUUUUGUUUCCGGUACGUUGGAGCGUUAGAGCUGUAAAUGAGAAAUAUGUGGCUGAGGUUGAAUCUUAAGAUCUCUAUUUUUUUUAAUCUCAAGUGAACANAUAUAUAUAUAUUUCUUAAGUUAUUCUAUUUAAACUAAGUAUUGUGUUAUUAUAUGCAUAAUUGUAGGCCAAUCAUUUUACUUAUUUUUCGAAAGUGAAUAAUACAUAUUAUUAAAUUAAAUAUAAUACCAUCUAAUUUCAUUCUAAGGGUAUUUUUGUUAAUUAACAUAAAUUUAAAAAAGGAAAAUUGCAUAUUUUAAGGGAAAAUAGAUUCUAUUAAAUUUAAAAAUCUGAUUAUAUGGAUGAUAAUUCUCCUAAUUCGAAAAUUCUGACGGAAUGUGUUUAUCAAUAUAUUGAAAAAUAACAAAUAUGAUUGAGCCAUACAAGAAUACACAUUCUGACAUAAUAUAUAUUUUGAUUUAAUGUACUUCUUGAAGAAUAAAAAAAAAUUUGGUUACAAGUUAAAAAAAAAAUUCAUUACAUUCUUAGAAAAGACAAAAAAAAAUUAUAGAGUAUUCUAUGAGAAUGUUACACUUAUUAAUAACAAAAAAACAAUAUAUAAAUCAUUCUACCAUAAUACACUAUUAUGUAUAUUUUUUCUUCAUUAUAUUGUAUAUUAUUUUGGUAGAAUAAUCCAUUCUUUUUGUAAGAUUGGUGGUCAUUGUUCAUCUUCAUCCCAUACAAUUUUCAUCUUCAAGAUUCUAUUCCGACCGAAUCAGAAUUCAAGAUUCCAUUCCAGUAGAAUGUUGUAAGUUACAUAUGUACCAUGUUUCGCUUUGAUAUCUCUCGUUUCGUUCCUAGCCAAGAAAACAAGAACAUUCUUGUUAUUGAUUUCAUGUAUACCUGCAAAUGAGAAAUACAACCACUCAUUAUUAUUGUUUAAUCUUCUUUCCAUGACAAUUUCAAGCAAUAAACACCACAUCGAAUUUUGUCAAGCAAAAGAAACAAUUUCCUAUAAAACAUUAACCCCAUAAAUCUGUUCCAUUCAUCCAUUUCUAUCAAGAACAAUCAAACCCAAAACCCAUCAACACUCCACUGUAUUUUUGUCAAAACAAUGGAUCAGAACAUUCUCCACUUGUUAUAUAAUAAAACUAAGUAGUAAAAGAUCAAAACAUUCUUACAUUUCUAUGGUUAUUCUACAAGAAGUUGUUAAAGUUAAUAAAAAUAUUCUUGCACAUAUGCUUGUUGAAAGCAAAUCUCGAAGUCCUAUGAUGAACAAAUGAUGAACGCAUGAACUGCAUUGUAUCUCAAUUUGGAUUGUCAAUCAAUAAAAAGUCAAAAUCAGAAUAAUGAUUACAAUCGGAACAAAUGGUAUUGAAUUCACAGUUGGUAGAGUGAUAAUCGGAGCCAAUGAAAUUGGGUUUUGAAUUUAACUGGAUUGAUCUAAGGAUAUUCGCCAUUGAAUGGUCAAACAGAAAAUUCAAAAUUGAGAUAUUCCAAACUUCUUACCUGCAAACGAUCUAAGAUUCGAAGUUGAAAAUCUGGGCUUGCACUCAUAUCCUCAAUGAUGCCUCUUCACAGCGCAAUUGCAUCUGCAAGUAGGUCAGCGUUAAUGUCUGGUAUGUGAACAAUCGCAUCUCAAACCACCAUAAUUUCAAGAACCCUAGCCCCAAAGCAUGUACCUAUUUCUCCAUUUUCGUCAUCUACAAGAACACUCCCUCGUGAAGCUUCAAGGUAGAUGCUUUACCGAUUACACAUACAAAAAAACACACCAAAACACGUACUACAACCAACCCUAUUUCUAAAUUCUACGAAAUCGAUUUAACCUUUGUGGUGUUAUUCUUCAGGAUUGUUGUGGCAUUGGGAAUGGUUGAAUCCAUGAUGCCUCUACACAGCGCAAUUGCAUUUGCUCGUCUCAAAUCGAGCCUUGCAGUUGAUUCCGCAUGCUGGCCGACAUUGGUGGAUGAAGGCGACGAGUGGUGGAGGACUGUCAGUGAUGACGGUAAUUAUGGUUGUGUUGUGCCCUUCAACAUCGGCAGUAAUGGUUGGGAUCGAAUAGGUGAUGUUUUUAAAAAGCCGAUGGAGAAAACCUAGGCAGCUAAAGUCAAUAGUUACCAUAAUUAUAGGAUAUUAUUUGUGGAAAUUGAUUAUUAAAUUACGUAUUUAUCCUUAUUUAUUUAUUAAUUAUUUAUUUAUAUUUUAAAUUUUUAUUGGUCCAUAUUUAUGCAUACAAUAACACAAUAGAUACAUUAAACACCUAAACCUAGCUCUCUCUCUCUCUCUCUCUCUCUCUAUAUAUAUAUAUAUAUANAUAUAUAUAUAGAGAGAGAGAGAGAGAGAUAGAGAGAGAGAGAGAUAGGUUCAGGUGUUGUAAGUAUUGUGUUAUUGUAUACAUAAAUGUGGGUCAAUCAAAAUUAAGUAAAAAUUUAAAUAAUUAAAUAAAUAAACAAGGGUAUUUUAGUAUUUUGAUAAAUAGAUUCCACAAUAGUCCCUAUAAUCAUGCUAGCAUUAACUUUAAACCUGUUUUUUCUUAUAUACAGUCGUCAUCAGUCAAACAACCUUCUCUCCAUCGUUUUCUAGUCGUCGGCUUCUGAUUGCAUCAGUGUAUCGUCCAACGUCGCCUCAUCCCUUCAUCGGUGCUUCUGGUUCACGUUGGCGUCAGCGCUCAUCGUUCACGUCGGCGUCGGCGCUCCUGUUCACCCUCGUGUUGCACCCAUUACUUUUCUCCUUGACUCCGACUACUUCUCCUCCGAUUAAAUCCACAUGUCGUCGCAACUUUCUUGUCCGACGCGACAUCCUUCCCUGGCGCAACCUCCUUCCUCGUCGUUGGUCAGCCGCCCUUCAUCACGUAUGUAUUUUUUUCCACUUAUAGUUGCUUCACCCUUUUUUAUUUGUUUUUUCUUGUUGAAUCUCGAUUAUAUCUUGCAAACUUGUUAUGAAAUUGAUUGUUCCUGAAAUCAGUUUUUUAGAAACUGGUUUAUGUUCCAGGUAAUUUUUUUGAAAUUGAUAUAUUCUCUUGGUAAUUUUUUUUCUGAUUUAUCAUUCAAAUGUUGUUAAAAAUCGAUUUCAUUUUGCCGAAAUUGAUUGUUGUUUCCAUAUGUUGUUGGUAAGAUUUAGAGACAUUGGUACUGGUAAGCUUCAAUAAGAUUUGUUCUCCCUAAGAUGAAAAAACUAUCAACUGGGGUUAAAUUUGGCUCUCUUGAUGUAUUGUUUGUUAGCUGUGGUAUGACAUUUGUUUCAAUUUUGAAUUUUGAUAUGAUUUUGUAGCUGAUACCACGAAACUUCAUAUGCAUAUACCCUUUACAAUUUUGUUUCACGAGAGAGGUGUGGAGCAAGCUUGGUCAUAUGCAACAGGUGUGUUUCUAUUUAAGUUCUUGAUUUGUUCAAGACAAGUGAAUUACAAGAUUUUGAAUGGUGGUAUAGUUAUUAAUUUGAUGUGUAGGUGUGUGAGCACCAGGUGUUUGACGAUUUGUCUGAGAGAAAUAAUUUAUGUGUCGUAAAGUGUCAGAUUCUUUUCUUAGAUUAUUGCUUUCAGGAUACAAUAUCCUUGUACGUUUUUUUUGGUAAUUCUUAGAUCUUUUAGUUUCAAAUCUUAUUACUUGUUGUUGUUUAAUUUCAGAGGAAUCGAGUAAAGAGCAAGUUGGAAGAACUUAAUCAUAUUUGCACUGCUACAGUUGGUGACGAAUUCCGAUUCUAUGGGAAUUAAAUCUCGAUAUUUCCUUUGUGAUUUGUGUAUUUUUAUGAUUGUAGUUCUAUCGGGAUCGAAUCACGAAUUCCAAUUCUACUAGAAUGGAAUCUUGAAUUCUGAUUCUGUCAUAAUAGAAUCUUAAAGAUGAACAAUGUAUGAGAUAAAGAUGAACAAUGACCACCAAUCUUCCAAAAAGAAUCGAUUAUUCUACCAUAAUAAUAUACAAUGUAUUAAAAAAAAUAUAUGUAAUAGUAUAUUCUGGUAGAAUGAUUUAUAUAUUGUGUUUUUUUGUUAUUAAUAAGUGUAAUAGUAUAUUCUGGUAGAAUGAUUUACCACAUUCUAUAAGAAAUUAUAUAUUUUUUGUUUUUAUUCUUCAACUGAUUGUUCAAGAAUUUGUUAUUCUACAAGAAGUUGAUAAAGUCAUGAUCAGGAAAUAGGUUCAAGAAUAUUUUUAUUAUUUAUGGUAUAAGAAUAUUUUUAUUUUGGAAUAUACUCAUAAACAUAUUCUGUCAGAAUGUCCGAAUUAAAAGAAUUAUAAUUCAUAAAAUCGGAUUUUUAAAAUUAAUAGAAUAUAUGAUCCCUUAAAAUUAGUGAUUUUCCCUUAUUAAAUCUAUAUUGAUUGACUAAAAUACCCUUGUAAUUAAAUUAGAUGAUAUUUUUAAAUUAUAUUUAAUUCAAAAAUAUAUCUUAAUCAUUUUCUUAAAAUAAGUGAAAUUAAUUGGCCAACAUUUAUGCAUACAAUAACACAAUAAUUACUUUUAAUANNNNNNNNNNNNNNNNNNNNNNNNNNNNNNNNNNNNNNNNNNNNNNNNNNNNNNNNNNNNNNNNNNNNNNUAUAUAUAUAUAUAUAUAUAGAGAGAGAGAGAGAGAGAGGGAGAGGGAGAGAGAGAGAGAGAGCUAGGUUCAGGUAUUUAAACUAAUUAUUGUGUUAUUGUAUUUAUAAAUAUAGGUCAAUCAAAAUUAAAUAAAUGAUUAAAUAAUUAAAUAAAUAAAUACGGGUAAUUUAGUCAUUUGUUUAAUAACUUCCAAAAAUAAUCCCUAUAAUCAUGGAAAUUUAGUUACCAUCCCUACAAAACCUUCGUUCACCCAUAUACCUUUAUUUCACUGUAUCCAUCAUCGCAUCAAUACCAUCGGGGUUCCUUUUUCUCAAUUUCAUUCGAUCAUUGAUUAGUAGUAGUAGUAAUAUUAAUGGAGGUCACUGGCGUUGUACACCGUCAGUCUCCGAGCUUCUCUUUGAGCGGUGGUGAUGCCUUUAACUCCUUGCACGUGCACUCUUUUCCGAAGAUGAAACCAGCCAGAUCUUUCUGUCUUAAACAAUCAUUCAAUGUGAAGUCCCUUUUUGCAUCCGUGGGUUUUGAUGAGCUUUCCGACAAGAGCCACCAAACACAUGCUCGAUUCUGAGACCCAUCUCAUAGCGAAUCAAGAUCUAACCUUUGAUUUCGGAUUUGAGGUAUUUUUGAAGAAAUAGGACACGAAGAGGGUAAUUCUGAAGAGGGUAUGUCUAAAGAAAUAAUUAAGGUUAGAAUUCAGAAUCGGGGUUCCUUUUUCUCAAUUUCAUUCGAUUAUUGAUUAAUGUAUGUAUCGAUUUGCUGAUUUGAUUUCAUGUUGCAGGUGAGGGAUGUUAUGAAGAACUUGAAAUAAUUAAGGUUAGAAUUCAGAAUCAGGGUUCCUUUUUCUCAAUUUCAUUCAAUCAUUGAUUAAUGUAUGUAUCGAUUUGUUGAUUUGAUUUCAUGUGGCAGGUGAUCUUAGGCGUACACUCAAAGCUAGCAAAGAGGGGAUCUUUAAACUUACUGUUGGUGAAAUGUACAACAGGUAACAUUGAUCUUUAAUAACUUUGAAUUUGUGAAAAAGAGGAUGAAAUAGAAGUUUUAGAACUUGAAAAUUCGAUCUUUUUUUGAUAAAGAUUAGAAAUGUGCUGUGAUUAUAAGAACCCAAGAACCAUAAGCGUAGAAAGAAUGGUUGUUGAAGCAAUGAAGAAGAUGGAGGCUCCUCCAUCCCCUGUUCAGUUCUUGCAUGUAAUCGAUGAAGACAACAAGUUGACAGGUAUCGUCAUACUACAUGGAUUGGUGUCAGUUGGGCUUUGAAGGUUAUAUAUAUGCAUUACUUCUUCAUUUGUAUCAUGUAGCUAUCGAGGAAUGCCUAUAAUCGUAUAUUACUAUUCUUUUGAUUUAUUGAUUUUUUACUACUCUAUAGAGAUGUAUGUGUUUCUAAGUAGAUCAAUCAUGUUGAGGGUUACACAAAAUUUCCUAUCAUGGUUUUAGUUGAUUUGAAGGUUUUGGGUUUGAUUAGUUGAACACAAAUCAUGGUUGUUUUGGUUUAUUUGACAGAUGAAUGCUUCAAUUGAAUUGAAAGUUGUUUUCAUGCACACCAAGUGCUUGCUAAAAUGCUUCAACUGAAUGGUAUUUCUUCGUUUAUAGCAUUCUAUCAGAAAAUAAUGUUUUUUUAUGAUAAUCAUGAACAUAUUCUGUUAGAAUUCCUUGAAUUAAUAUAAUUAUUAGUAAAUGAAUUCCAAUUCUAUCAGAAUGGAAUCACAAAUUCCAAUUAUGUUGGAAUGGAGUAUGAAUAUUUUCUCACUAACUUAUUCAUUGUAUUUUUGUUUCUACAGAAGCUGAUGCUUGAAGAACGGACCACGAAAUUUGAACGACGCCUCUUAGCAACAUUAUUCUUUUAGAAUGUAUUAUUGUUUUUGUUAGAUUUUGAUGUUUUUUUUUCCAGAUUUGAUUUCUUUUUUAGUUUUAUUCUUUAAAAAUAAAUAUAAUUCUUAGCAAUUGUUACAUGUAUUCUAUAGGAAUUAAUGUAAUUUUUGUUUUAAUUCUUCAAUUGAUGGUUCGAGAAUUUUGUUAUUCUACAAGAAAUUUUUUUAUUUUUUAACAUACUCAAACAUAUUCUGUCAGAAUGUCCGAACUAAAAACCUUAUAAUUUGUAAAAUCAGAUUUUUAAAAUUAAUAGAAUCUUUGAUCCCUUAAAAUAUAUAAAUUUCCUUUAUUAAAUAUAUGUUAACUGACUAAAAUGCCCUUCUAGUUAAAUUAGAUAGUAUUUUUCAAUUAUAUUUAAUUAAAUAAUAUGUAUUAAUCACUUUCUUAAAAUAUGUAAAAUGAUUGGCCCACAUUUAUGCAUACAAUAACACAAUAAUUAUUUUGAAUAGAAUAACCUAAGCCUAUAUAUAUAUAUAUAUAUAUAUAUAUAUAUAUAUAUAUAUAUACACACACACACACACACAUUGANNNNNNNNNNNNNNNNNNNNNNNNNNNNNNNNNNNNNNNNNNNNNNNNNNNNNNNNNNNNNNNNNNNNNNNNNNNNNNNNNNNNNNNNNNNNNNNNNNNUUUAUCGUACUUCGUCGUUUUGUCUCAUAUAAUAAAUUCUAAUUGUCCAAUGUUCUUAUAAUUUAACGUCUAACUUGAUUUACUUCUAGAAUUUUUAUAAACUACAAAGUUAUCUUACUCUUACAUAAUUUUCAUUUUCAACUACAAUAUAUAUAGCAUAUUAGGUGUUCGGAAAAAAAAAUGUGAUGUAAGAGAAAGGUAAUAGUGCAAUUUUGAAAAUUUUGAAAGUAAAUCAAGUUAGUAGUUGAAGUUUAAGAACAUUAUGAUGAAUAUAUCAAACANACUCCUAUCUUUUAACUAUUUCUUUACAAACAAAAUGGCUUGUAAGAUUAAUGAAUACUCGGAACCAUUUUUGUUUCAUAUUGACUAAUCAUUUAUAAAUAUAUAAUUACAAAUAGAUUGGAAUAGAUGAAAUCGAUGGAUUUCCAUAUACGACAUUGUGAUCGACAAAUAGAUUGGAAGCAAAGGGGUCGAAGAGAUAGUAUCCUCUCUCACUAAAUUUCCUAAAUGAUAUGGCAAUGACCAAUUGACCAUGCCGACAUGAUAGCAAUUUUCUAUUUUUGUCAUUUUAGUGACUAGUCCUUUCGCCCCUUAGACAAGUACAAAAGAGACCCUUUUCUUAUGUCGAUCAUCAAAAUAAAUGGAAAUCUAAUCGUUAACUCACUAAGAAUCGCCGCGUAAUCAUCACCUCAUACAUCUUCUAUAAACACCCAACCGAUUGCCCUCUCUAAUCUUGCCUCUAUCCACUCUCAACUCUCAACCACACACACACACCUUCCAUUUCCCAUGGCGUCCUUUCACAAACCUCUCUACCUUUUCUUCGCUUUUUUCUUCGCUUUAGUCUCUUUUUCCAGUGCUUACACCUUCAACGUCGGCGGCAGAGAUGGCUGGACUUUACACCCUUCUGAAAGCUACAAUCAGUUUUCCGGCAGACUAAGAUUUGUCGUUAACGACAACCUCCGUAUGUAUUCAGUUCCUUUUUCUCUUAAGUUCUUGAUUUGGGUUUUCGUUUUUUCAAUGUGGGUUUUUAAAAAAAAUUGAUUCUUGAUUUGCAGAUUUCAAGUACGAUGCUGCAUCGGAUUCUGUAUUGGAGGUCAGCAAAGGUGAUUAUGAUAAUUGCAACACGAACAACCCCAUCACCACCCUCACCGGCGGCGACUCUUUCUUUACCUUGAAUCGUCCAGGACCUUUUUACUUCAUCAGUGGUAAUAGAUCUCACUGUAACGAAGGUCAGAAGCUAGAGGUGGUUGUUAUAUCGCCUAAAACGAAGCCGUCACAUUCCGCCGCUCCACCUCCGGGAGUUUCACUUGCUCCAAUGGUCUCCCCAGGCUCCCCUGUUUCAUCACCACCAGAAUCUGGAACAUCUGGACCGACUGCUCCGAUGGGUUCCCCUAUGUCUUAUUCUUCACCACCAGAACCUGGAACUUCUCCGAUGGCCUCCCCUUUUUCGUCACCACCAGAAUAUGGAGCUACUCCGAUGGUUGCCCCCACUGGAGGUAUCUCAGCUUCUCCAACAGGUAAUCCGUCUGACGUGAACGGACAAUCACCGAAUGGAUCACCGGAAGGGUCGCCGUCGUCUUCGUCGGCAAGACUACCAGUUUCAACAACCUUGACUGUCUCAUUUGUCCUUAUGAUAGUUGGGUUGGUGUGGUUUUAUUAGAGUGUUUAUUUUCUUAGAGUGGUAAUCUAUUACAAUUUUUUUUUCUUG